rnacentral:lncRNA from 1 species
UGUAAAACACACCAAAGCUGGCAUAGAAACUGUCCAUGUCUAUGAAGCCACCAUCUCCAUUGAAAUCGUUAGGCACUCUUGCGGAUGGUGAUUCUGUUUUGUCGCAACUGUUUUGCAAUGGAGGUCCACAAAGAAGAGGAUUCCCUUUAUAACUGCUCUCAUCAAAGGUACCAAAUUGAUUUUUCAUCUCCAGUGUUCUUCCUGACAAAUUAUUGUACGACACGUUGAAAACUUCUAGAAAGGUCAGUUCAACGAGUUGUUCUGGAAUUCUCCCAUUCAAGGUGUUGUGAGAAAGAUCCAAGCUCUCUAUCUGCUUCAGAUUGGAGAAAGAUGGAGGGAUCAAUCCAGUGAGAUUAUUUCGCGACAGAUUUAGAGAGUAUAUCCCACUUAAGUUUCCCCAUUCUGUCGGGAUUUCUCCAGUGAAUCUGUUACAAGAAAGGUCCAUAACAGACAUGUAACGAAGGAUAUCGCCUUCGUAAGAGUAGAAAUUUUUCUUUGUUGUAAGCUCUACAGAUAUUUUUACACUGAUCUCUGGCCACAAAAUUUUGCCAUAAAGAUAAAAACCUUCGUGCUCCAAUUCUCUUUCCCCCAUGGAUGCAAAUAUUUCUUUCCGGCUUCCAUCAUCUUGUGAGUACGUACUAGUGACAACCCAAGUUUUUUCAUAUGAUGCCGUAAAAUCUAAAUUGCUCAAACAUGAGGGUAACAGACUAGAAAAAUUAUUUUCUGAAAGAUCCAAUAUGCUUAAUUUCCUUAACAAGCAUAAUUGAACAGGAAGUUCCCCAUUGAAUUGAUUAGAUUUCAAAAGAAGAAAACUCAAUUCCGAAAGUCUAUCAAUCCAAUUUGGAAUUGGCCCAGUUAAGUUGUUAUAGCCGAGAUCUAAUGUCACCAAAGAAGAGAUGUUAUAAAAAGCAUUUGGCAGUGGACCGGUCAAUCGAUUUCCGUAUAGGUGGACAUAGCGUAAAUGCGGUGCAUAAAAGCCCAACGGCAAAGACCCAGACAAAUUGUUUUCAGAAAGAUCUAAAAAUUCAAGCCUAGAAGGAUUGAAAUAUUCUUUUGGAAUGGUACCUUCAAACUGAUUUCUGGACAAAUCAAUUGCCUGAAAGGGGUAUAUUGAAGAGUUCCCAAUUCCCCUUGGAAGCAUGCCUGACAAAAGAUUGUUACUUAUAUCAAACCACAAAAAUGAUGAUGCAAGAGAAAAGGUACCAGAUACUUGUCCUGCAAAUUUGUUUCCGUCGAGAAAGAGGUACUCUAGGUGAGUCAUGUUGAACAAAGAGAGUGGUAAUCGCCCUUUGAAAUUGUUAUUGGACAGCUUUAAGGACCACAACGAGGAGCCUACUGCUGGAAAAUUAUGCUUAAGCAGUUCACAAGACAUCUGAUUGUUGGAAAGAUCAAAGUAUUCGAGAGAGCUCAUAUUCCCAAAACAAGGAGGAAUACAACCUGUGAGGCUGUUGUUAGCCAUCAUGAAGUUUUUCAAACGUGGAAAAAUCGAACAUAUGUUGCUUGCAAUUUGACCAUGUAUGUUGUUGCCAGACAUAUCUACUGUCUGAAGGUUGGGUGUUGGAUGUUGUGGCAGCUGCAAAAGACUUGUAAAUGAGGUGUCUCUCAAAUAUAGCCGAUUUAACUUUCUAUUAUUCUCAAACAGCCAAGAUGGGAAAGGUUCUCCAACGAAUUUGUUGUGGGAUAGAUCAAGAAACACCAAAUCAUGUUGGCUAUGCAGGAAGUUUGGAAAUCCAGCUCUGAGUGGUUUUGAAGUACAGUUUGAAGCACUGAAGUAACGAAGCUGGAACUUGGGAGCUGAAGGCUGAAAACUGGGUGCAGCUAUCAGCUCAUUGUUAUCGCAUGCAAUGAACUUGAGGUUGGAGAGGUUCAUAAAUGAACCAAAUGUUAUUGGAACUUGAAAGUAGUUACUUGAAACUGAGAGGUAUUCAAGCUGCGUAAGAUGGGAAAGGUGACUAGAGGCAAUAUUUCCCUCCAAUUGGUUGUCAGAUACAUCCAAGAUUUGUAGAGAUGAUAGAUUUCCAAAACAAGGAGGGAGUACGCCCUUUAGAUAGUUUCUUGAGAGAUAUAGCUUUUCAAGAUUCUUCGGUUCACACCAGCCUGCAGAAUAUAUCAAUAUGUUCAUAUAUCAAUUAUGUAAUUGCUUGGUGAGGUUUUAAAGUUUUAGUUGAUUCUUGUUUCAUUACCUAGGUCGGUUUUAGAUUAUAUUUAAACAACUUUGUUUGUUAGUUUUUUAAAAGAUUAAUUAUCUAUAUUAUUGAUAUUCAUAAUUUUUUUAAUUCAAAGUUUUUUCUAUAAUUUAAGACAGAGAAAUUUUAGAGAUUCAGAAACUCUAGAUUUUAUCCUUUUCUAUACAUAACAUUAUGAGUAAAUUUCUAGUUUAAUAAAACAUAGAUAUAACAAAAUAUCUAAUGAACAACUGUUAUUUGGAUUUCAAUACUCUUAUAAUUGUUCAUUUGUAGAAUUACCAUCCCAAUAUCCAUAUAAAUUCAAUGAAAUAUAAAUUUGUGUGUUAAUUUUUUGAUAUUAUAUCAAUAUUUUAAUAACCAAAUAUUCAUGAAUUCUAACAUAUCACAUAUAAAUUCUAACUAGUUGAUCCUUUAAUAAAAUUUUAAAAAUUGAACAAAAGUUAAUGGUUAAUACACAUCUAUUUAUUAGACAAAUUCACUAAAGAAUAAAUUAAGCCUCACUAAGGAAUGUCAUCCAAGGAAGGAAUGAUUUACAACUUUACCAUUGAGACCAGUUGAUCCUGUGAACAUAUUGUCUGAUAGAUCUAGAGAUUUGAGAGUUGAAAAUCCAUUGAGAGAUGAUAAAAUGCUGUCGUUAAAUUUAUUGUUACUUAGAUAAAGUUCCUCCAAAUUCCUCAACCCUGAAGCUAGGACUUGAAAACCUGAAAGAAAAUUGUCGGAAGCAAAGAAAUUAACAGAUAUAUAUAUCAACCAUCCCAAUAUCCAUAUAAAUUAAAUGAAAUAUAAAUUUGUGUGUUAAUUUUUUGACAUUAUAUCAAUAUUUUAAUAACCAAAUAUUCAUGAAUUCUAACAUAUCACCUCCAUUCUUUUAAUAAAAUUUUAAAAAUUGAACAAAAGUUAAUGGUUAAUACACAUCUAUUUAUUAGACAAGUUCACUCAAGAAUAAAUUAAACCUCACUAGGGAACGUCAUUUGAGGUAGGAAUGAUUUACAACUUUACCAUUGAAACCAGUUGAUUCUGUGAAUCUAUUGUUUGAUAAAUCUAGAGAUUUGAGAGUUGAAAAUCCACUGAGAGAUGAUAAAACACUGUUGUUCAAUUUAUUGUCACUUAGAUAAAGUUCCUCCAAUUUCCUCAACCCUAAAGCUAGGACUUGAAAACCUGAAAGAAGAUUGUCAGAAGCAAAGACAAUUAAAAGAUUUAUAUAUCAACCAUUUCAAUAUCCAUAAAGAUUCAAUGUAAAGUUACUUGAAACAUAACUAACUUUAUGUGUUAACUAAAAAAAAAUUGAAAGCAUAGAACCUUGGUUCUUUAAGCCACCAACUAAUUGGUUGCCGCUUAAGUCGAGAAUCUCCAGUUCUUUGAAAGGCAGAAACAAAGGUGCAUUGAGAUCCAAGUCUUCGACUGCAUCAUAAUUUACAUAUGAAAGAUGUAGUUCGAUCACUCGGUUUGUGGUGUUGUCACACACAACCCUAUAAUAAUCCCAGUUACAGCAAUUAAAGUGCUCUUUAUCCCAACGUUCUAGCGGAUCAUAGGACCCAGCUGCACGUGCAUGAUAGAACCAAGCUUUUAUCUCUAAGAGACUAACUCUCUCUUCCUCCACACAACAAUGGCUCCGGUCGUUGAGGAAGGCCAGUGCCAUGAGCAGCAUCCACACCCACAUUUGCCUCAUCUUCAUAUUAACGCUCCUACUUGACAAAAUACAAAAGCAAGCAAGCUGUCUCUUAUAUACAAAUUAAUUUGUCCUCUUCAUUUGAUCGGACUUAAUUAUCUGUAUCAUUGAAUUUUCUAUGCUGAAUUAAUUAUCCAAGGGAGACUUGGGCUGAAUUGAAUGGGAGAAUCUUCACGGACAGAUCCAGGGGCCCGCACCACGGCACAGAUCGCUCGGUUUGUGGUGUUGGAUUAAAGGAUAUUAAUUCCAACUUCUUGUUUACUGCUUUACUUUUCUUCAUAGACUUGGGAAGUCAGGUGCUGUAUAUGAACAAUUGAUUUGAUCUUAUGAAAUACACGGCAGAAGAGAUUAGAAAAUGACUUCUAUUAUCAAUAAUUUCUUCUUACUGCACCUACUGAUUUUUAUUUCUUUUGAAAUAUUUAGAAUAUCUCUUUUGAAAUAUCAAUAUCGCCUACCCCACUUCCUUCAUUUUUGUUAACGGAGUGAAAUGAUUUCAACACGUGUCCAUGCAUCUGCCAGCUACCCUAAUUAAUCUGCACUAACAGUGACCAUAACAGCUGUAACAAUACUCCCUCAAUACUUGUAACAUCAUCCUAAUAUAUAUAUAAUAGAUUGGAAGCAUGCAUGGGUUUCUUACAUGAUUAACUAAACUUAAUCUUGUAAUAUUGAAUUAUUUGAUGAAAACAUUAUCUAAAACAAGAUUAAUUGAUAUAUUUAAAGUCAAAUAAAAAACAAACCCUGCUUAUUUUUAAUAUUAAAAAUUAUUUCUAACAUAAAUUUUUAACAUAAUAAUUUAUCAAAAUUAAAAUAAAUUAGAAUCACCGUUUGAGCAAUUGAUUUGAUCUUGGGCCCACAAUUAUUUUCAUUAGCCUGUUAAUAUUUUUCUUCAAGCUUGUGGAACAGGUUGUUCCUUUAGGCUACUUUGCUUCUUCUUUUUUUUCUUCUUAGACUUGGGAAGUUAUUUGUUUGAACAUUUAAUUUAAGUUUUUAUGGUUGUUUGUUUUUGUGUUUUAAAAGUAUUUUUAAAUAAAUUUUAAAUUUUUUAAUUUUUUUAUUAACUUCAAAUUAAUAUAUUUUUAGUGUUUUCAAAUCAUUUUGAUAUGCUAAUGUCAAAAAUAAUUUUUAAAAAAUAAAAAAAUAUUAUUAAUAUAUAUUUUAACAUAAAAAAUUAUUUAAAAAACAAUAAUAUAAUCUCAUCAUCCAAUAUCGCUUGUUUUUAUUCUUCGUAGACAUGUGAAGUAAAGAUUCCCAAUUAUCCACUGCAUCAAUCUCUAUCCCAUCAAAAUGAAUUUGGUGCAAGAAAAAAAUAUCUAAUAUAUGUGAUUUACUCAUUAUGCAUAUUUAAGAUUGCUAAAGGAAAAUAUUUAGUUUAAUUUCACAUAUAAGCUAAUUCGAUAACACUUUUUAAUAUAAAACCAAAAAAAAAAAGAGUGCUAUCGUCAUCAACUUUAUUUGGUUUCAAUUUAUGACGUUUGACAUAUAAAUUCUGUUCAAUUUAAAUCAACUUUUCAAUAAAUAGUGAAUGUUAAUGAGCACAGUAGCGAGAACUAAGCAGUGUUAUGUGUACUUGGAACCAAGGUUGUUAAAAUCGUGUUUUGACUCGUAAAAUCGUACGAUUUUACGAGUCAAAACAUGUAUUACGGGUUGAAUCGCUUGAAAAAAUCAAAAAUAGCUAAAAUCGGGUUGAAAUCGAGUGAAAUCGCGAUUUCAGGACCGAUUUUGCGAUUUUGACAAAAUAAGGCCCUGAAACAAAAUCCUCCCUCCUGGAUAGCUGUCAUGCCUAUUGGAUUAUUCCUGCACAGUCUUACUCAUACACAACGUUUCAUGUCUUCCUUAGCUCUCGUGUCUAGCGUGAAUAGGAAGGUCCCCGUGUUGGUCAAGCAGGAAUGUCUGGAACUAGUUGCUAUGUGUAAUAAAAAAAACUUUGGCAGGAUAUGAACAGAAUGAAGAAUUACAAAGAUGAAAUCUCUCUCUCUCUCUCUCCCCUUCCUUCUUCUUAUCUCUUUCACCAUUCAUGCUGCAACCCUCCUGUUGAUUUCUGGAAAUGGUUCAGAACCAUUCCAUCGCAUUCAAUUCCCCUGGAUAUAUUUCUGGAAAUGUAAUUUUUAAUCUAUUAAUUUUUUUUAUAAAACAUAUUAACCGAAUAUUAUUUCAAUUUCACUCGAGUUUUAUGGUAGAAACUGGUGAAGUGUGUGUAUAACACCUGACAAUAUUUUAAGAUGCUUGAACUAUAUAUGAAUUUUUAUUUGAAGGCUUGAAAUAUGUAUGAAAUUUUAUUUGAAACAUGUUUUUUAAUGUGCUUGAACUAUGUAUGAAUUUUUAUUUGAAACAUGAAUUUUUUUUAAUGUAUUUCAAAAUUCCUUACGAUUUUACGAGCCGUUUUUACAAUCCGAUUUUGUGAAGGGCUUUCCGUUUCGUUCUAAAAUCGCGAUUUUAACAAUCUUACUUGGGACUGUGAAUAAUGUACACUUUAGCUCUCUUCAUACAGUCAAUUGACUUUGACACAGUAAAAAUGAAAAAAAAAUUACUCCGUCGAUUGGUGAUUAAACUACAAUACUAAAUAUACCAACUCUGUGGAUUUGUGAUUAAACUUGGAAAAAAACAACAAUACUAAAAAAAGCCAUAUGUGAAUUUGUGAUUAAGAAAAUUCAUUAUUUUAUUUUUUGACAUAUUAGGUUCCACUAGAUGCACCCAGUCAAUGUGAGUGGUUGUCUUUUUUAUUAUUUAUGAGGAUCCAAUUGAUGCAUCAAGUCUAGGGCUCCACAAUCACUGUCACUAGUCAAUUCCGCCAACUUGUUGCGUAAACUACUUUGCUUUCUCUUCAUAUAUAGACAUGGAAAUCAUGUGGAAUCAAAAAAUUUAUUCCUUAACCUUUUUCAUGGAAUGAAGUGAUUUCCCAGUAGCAUCAUCAUCCACUUGCACUUUUUUUUUCUUCGUAGACUUGAGAAGUCGGUCAAGAUUCCCAAUAUAUUAUCAACAUCAUCAAUUUAAAAAAGAAAUAUAUGUUAGGUUGAUUUAUAUGUUAGGCUGAUUUACUUCCAUAUUAAUUAUUGUUUGAAUAUUCUUAAUCCGAAUGAUAUUAGUCCAUUCAAAACAAAUUCAUUUUCUUUUUUUAUAAAUAUAUUUAUAUAACUACCAAAGAAGAAAAUGCAUUGAUUAAAAUAUUAUUAAUCUGUUUGAAUGAAGAAAGUUAAGGCAGAGAUGACCAACCUAAACACCGUGUGGGCCAAUAAAAUUGAAAACAAAAGAUAAUAUCAAUGGCUUGCAAAAAAAAAGGGUUUGUGUUAAAUUUAUCUAUAUGUUAAAUUACUUGAUUUACUAAACUUAAUCAUGUAAUAUUGAAUUAUUUGAUGAAAACAUUAUCUAAAACAUGAUUAAUUGACAUAUUUAAAGUCAAAUAAAAAACAAAUCCUGCUUACUUUUAAUAUUAAAAAUUAUUUUUUAAUCUAAACUCUUUAGCAUGAAAAUUUAACAAAAUUAAAAUAAAUUAUGAUUACUAUUUGAGCGAUUGAUUUGAUCUUCGGCCCCACAAUUAUUUUUGUUAGUCUGUGAAUGUUUUUCUUCAAGCUUGUGAAACUGGAUAUUCCUCUGUAAUGUAAGUUCCUUUGUUUUUUUUCUUCGUAGACUUGAAAAGUCAUUUGUUCGAACAUUUGAUUUUCUGAUAAGUCAAUCAUCCACUGCAUCAAUCUCUAUCCCAUUGUUAGUCUGUGAAUUUUCUAUGCUGAAUUAUCCAAGGGAGACUUGGGCUUCAUUGAAUGAGAGAGUCUUCACGGCACAGAUCGCUCGGUUUGUGGUGUUGGAUUAAAGGAUAUUCCAACUUCUUGUUUACUGCUUUGCUUUUCUCCGUAGACUUGGGAAGUCAAGAUUCCUAUAAUCCACAUCAUCAAAAAAACCCAAAUCGAUAAUGUGGUGUUGGAUUAAAGGAUAUUAAUUCCAACGUCUUGUUUACUGCUUUACUUUUCUUCAUAGACUUGGGAAGUCAGGUGCUGUAUAUGAACAAUUGAUUUGAUCUUAUGAAAUACAUGGCAGAAGAGAUUAGAAAAUGAUUAACAGAUAUAUACAUCUCAACCAUACCAAUAUCCAUAAAGAUUCAAUGUAAAGUUACUUGAAAUAUAAUUAACUUUAUGUGUUAACUAAAAGAAAAUUGAAAGCAUAGAACCUUGGUUCUUUAAGCCACCAACUAAUUGGUUGUCGCUUAAGUCGAGAAUCUCCAGUUCUUUGAAAGGCAGAAACAAAGACGCAUUGAGAUACAAGUCUUCGACUGCAUUGAGAACAUCAUAAUUUACGCUAUAAAGAUUUAGUUCGAUCACUCGGUUUGUGGUGUUGUCACACACAACCAAAUCCCAGUUACAGCAAUUAAAAUGCUCUUUAUCCCAACCUUCUAGCUGAUGGGACCCAGGUGCACCUGCAUGAUUGAACCAAGCUUUUAUCUCUAAGAGACUAACUCUCUCUUCCUCCACACAACAAUGGCUCCGGUCGUUGACGAAGGACAGUGCCAUGAGCAGCAUCCACACCCACAUUUGCCUCAUCUUCAUAUUAACGCUCCUACUUGACAAAAUACAAAAGCAAGCAAGCUAUCUCUUAUAUACAAUUUUGUCCUCUUCAUGCAUUUGAUCGGACAGUGACAAUUAUCUGUAUCAUUGAAUUUUCUAUGCUGAAUUAAUUAUCCAAGGGAGACGUGGGCUUCAUUGAAUGAGAGAGUCUUCACGGCACAGAUCGCUCGGUUUGUGGUGUUGGAUUAAAGGAUAUUCCAACUUCUUGUUUACUGCUUUGCUUUUCUCCAUAGACUUGGGAAGUCAAGAUUCCUAUAAUCCACAUCAUCAAAAUGAAUGUGAUCGAAGAAAGGAAAAAAUGAAAAAAAAAAAAAAACAUUAACAGUGGCUUACAAAAAAUAAAUAAAUAAAUAAAACCAUCAAUUACGAGCUUCAUAAGAUAAUUUUAGCUUAAAAAAACCCAAAUCGAUAAUGUUUUCUUUAACAUUGGUAUCCGUUUAAUCAAUCUUCUGGUUUGAUCCUUGAUAGUGCUGUGUUUUGAUGCUUGUCGAUUAGCCACAAUAAUGUUAAAUUUACAAGGACAGAUCCAAGAAAAGCAAUGCAGGCCUGUUUUGGUCUCUGGGAGUCCCCUGAUAAAGGCUGCAACUAUUGCUUGAACCCUUGUAAAGGGGCCUUUACACAUGCGGUCCACUGAGAAGUACAACACCGUUCUUUAUUUAAUUCUUAUGGUUUAAAUCUACUAAUAACUUAGUCAUUUUGCAUGCUAUUUUUCCACUUGUUUUGUAAAAUAGAGAAAAGAACUGUUAAGCAUGCUGGAUAUUUCGCAUAAUAAGCUCCGGGUCCUUUAUCCUCUUGUUUGUCCAAUUUAACUUUCAUGGCAAACGAUGCAAAAUGCUAUGUAUCUUUUACUUGGCCUAGUAUUCAAUAUUUUGAUCAGUCAAAUCUUGUACUCAUGGGUUUGCCUCAAGUAGGCGAUUCUUAUCGGGAAAAUAAGUACACAAACAACAUUGCAGAUUAAUCUGUCGAGUUCUCAACAAAAAGACAGUCAUACUCCUAUCGAGAUGUGACGCGGAACAAUAAGUAAAAAGAAUUAAAGCAAGAAAAGAAAGAAGCUUUAAAGAAGAAAGAAGCUAAAGAAGAGGAGGAGAGGGGUUGGAGAUGUGCAAAUCUGCAAUUUUCAUUCAUUCAAAAAAUGUCUUCCCAAAUGACAAAGAGCAUAUAAAUAGUCUCAACCUAGAACAUCCUGCUAUUGGGCUUGGCCCAUCAAACCAAAUUGUUUAACAUAAAUAAUAAAAAUAACAAUGAGCAAGCCCAAAUGGGCUAAAUAAAUAAAAUUACAAUGAGAUAGGCCCAAUGGGCUUAGUCUCCCAACCAAAGCGUGACAGGCUGGGCCAUCCUACGUCGUCUCCGUCCAUAUACUCGUGUAAUCUGUGGCGUGGGCCUGGUGUCCUCACCAACUCUCCUGGGGUUAGAGAAACUCGACCUUGUCGAGCGUAGCAGUGGCCGACUCUGAUAGUACUCCCAAAGAUCUGGGUCAAGCUGCUGCAAAGUAUCUCUAGUAAUCCAAGUGCAGUCUGAGUCGGGUCGACCCACCCAGCGAACUAGAAACCGCUGAAUCUCACCAUUCCUAUUAAAAACAACUUGUUCAUCCAGAAUAGCAUCAAUAUUAUCCUUUUGUGCUGAUGUCAAAGUAAAAAGGGAUAGGGGUUUAUUAGGAUCAUCAGGAGGGGGUUAAGUGGUGUUCAAUGGGUCAUUUGGAAUAGGAAGUGGUUUGUGGUAUGCAACUAGAUCCUCAAUGUUAAAUGUAGAGCUAAUGCCAAAAUCAUGUGGUAAAUCAAGAACAUAAGCAUUUGGACCAACCCGUUGUAGCACUUUGAAAGGCCCGCACUACGUGCAUGCAAUUUUCGAUUAGCUCCCGAAGGAAACCGUUCGGGUCUAAUCCGUUAUCAUAGUCUCCAACAUUAAACUCAUUAUGUCGUCUAUGUGCAUCAGCUUGAAGUUUAUAUUGCGCAUUACUUGCUUGAAUUUGUUUAGUGAUCUCAAUAUGCAAAUCCUGAAUUCUACGUGCAAAAGACUCGGCUGACUCAGACACUCUAGCAUGAAGGGACAUGGGAAGAAGAUCUAAAGGUUUCCUAGGCUUGUAACCAUGUACAACUUCAAAGGGACUCAUGCCUAUUGACCUAUUGAUGAGCUAUUAUAGGCAAACUGGGCUAGGAAGAAUCAGAUCCCAAUUCCGAUUAUGAUCACUCACUAGACACCUUAAAAGGUUACCCAAACUCCUGUUAACCACCUCAGUUUGACCAUCAGUUUGGGGUGGUAAGCAGUAGAAAACUUCAAUUUGGUUCCCACCAUAUGCCAAAGGGUUUUCCAGAAAUAACUUGUAAAUCUAACAUCCCUAUCUGAAACUAUGGUUUGGGGAAGGCCGUACAACUUGACAAUCUCGUCAAAAUAGAGUUUUGCGACUCUGGAAGCAUCUGUGGUCUUAGUACAAGGAAUAAAAUGGGCCAUCUUAGAGAAGCGGUCGACAACCACAAAAAUAGAAUCAUGUUUCUUUGCAGUACGUGGAAGCCCAAGCACAAAAUCCAUGCUUACAUCUUGCCAAGGGCAAGUAGGCACGGGUAAUGGAGUGUAAAGACCAGUAUUUUGUUUUCUAUGCUUAGCGAGUUGGCAAGUUCGACACUGACCUACUAAUUUGGCGACAUCUCUUUUCAAACUAGACCAAAAAAACUGACGUUCCACUUCUUCGAUGGUUUUAUUCCUUCCAAAAUGUCCUGAGAGACCUCCAACAUGAAUCUCCCAUAUCAAAAAAUCACGCACAGAUGUUUUCAGGAUACAAAGCUUAUUAUCUCGAAAUAGGUAUCCAUCUUGGAGGUGAUAACCAUUUAUAACACGGUGAUGCGCAUCCUUCAAUGUCAAGUAUAUUUCUCCAAAUUCUAGGCAAGAUUCAUACUCCUCCUUAAGUCUCUCAAAUCCUGUGACUCCAACACUCAUUACAGAUAACAACGUCACCCGACGACUCAAAGCAUCUGCAGCCUUAUUCUCUAUUCCAGAUUUAUGUUUCAAAACAAAUGAGUAUGCUUGCAAAUAUUCAACCCAAUGACCAUGCCUAUUGUCGCACCCUAAAAAAAAUCAGCUCGCGGCAUCGGCUGGCGAUUUUUCUCGUUUGUUUGUCGUUGCUUGAAUUUGGUUCGUUGGAGUCGCCACCUAGUAAUUGAUUGCGGGCUACUAGGAAACCGGCUGUACUGGUCUUGUCAGAGAUUCGUGGGUACGGGACUGGUUGUGGUUAGGGAAGGUAUUAGCACCCCUAACACACCCUACCUGAGGUAAGCUGCUUCGCGAAUUUGAUGUAUUAAAGAAGUUUUAAUAAUUGUCUUUUCAUCAGAAAUUAGAAAUAUCACUUACGUAUAAGUUAAUAAUUCUUAACCAAGAUCCGAUCAAAAUAUUAAAUUCUUCUUUAAUAUAUUUGCAAUUUUAUCAUUAAAAAAUAUAUACAAAUAAAUAAAAACAAAAUACAAACACACACGUACACUUCCACUAUUUUUGUUUCUUUUCUUUUUUUCUUUUCUUUUCUUUUACAUCCAUAUUUACAAAACAAAUAGACAAUCCAAAAAAAAAUAAAAAAAAAAUACAUCAAACAAUUUAAAAUUACAAAACAGCCCCUAAAACAUCCUAAGGCUUCUAGAACAUGCAGGAACAGUGCACGAGAACAGUGCUGGGAGGCUUCUGGUGCAGAGAAUCAGUUGAUGCUUGCCAUUUGUUCUCAGUUAUACUAAGAAAGAAUGAACCGCGACUCUGUCCACCAUUCUCUCCUGUGCAUGAACAAAUCAGUGAAGGAAUAUUUGCAGUGAUAAAUAUGUUAAUGGUUUCCUGACUUCAUUAGAAUAUUUUGCUCCCAUUUUCUUUGCUCCAUGAACUGAAUAUAUAUUGCAACAUAAUUGUGGUGUUGUCAAUCACGGCAAUUAUGCACAUAAAUCCUUACUGGCGCCGCAGGUGGUUUUACUUCAUUGAAGAAUCGCAACUAUUAUGCUGCUGUUUUCUAGCGGUUAGUUUCCGUAAGCUGUCCAACAUCAUGUCAUCGAACCUCUGUAUAAUCAUUCAAUUAGAUGACACAUUUAAAAAUUUUAAAAACUAAUAAUACUAUAACUAUGAAGAACACCUAAAAUAUUUAAUUUUAUUCUUCCAAGUCUCUGCUAAACUAAUUAUACACAAUUGUGGUACUAGCAAUUGCGGCAGUUUUGUACAUAAACCCAUAUUGGCGACAUAGGUGGUUUUACUUCAUAGAAGAGUGCAUGGAGACUUGCUACUACUUUGAAUUGCAUACAUUUCAUAAGCUAUCCUCCUUCAUAAGGCCAUAGGGUCUGACGCGUGCCUUUUGUUUUUUCAUAUUUUUUAGUUUGAACUAAUAAAACCUUUACUUUUUUUCAAGCUUCAGUUAAUUUUAUUGCAGUUUCUCAAAUGAAUUCUACAAAUUCAAGAUAUAUAUGCAUCCUUAAUGCCAUAUUAAAGAGAAUAUAUAGAUAGGAAGAAGAGGAGCUUUACGUGAUAUGGAUAGCGAGAUGCUCCUAAGCCUAGAACCAGCUAAAACUUAAUAUUAUGAUGAAUAAUUCAGCAAAACUUAAUUCAAUUUCAACUUCCAUUCUCAUCAUUAGUACAAAAUGCAGAGUCAGAUUGAAAGGAAAAUGAUUGGAACUUGAAAUUCAGGUAACAAUACAUCUAGCAGAGCUUCCUCCUUACCCUCUCCCUAUUGUAUCUUCUUCGAGUGGAACUCUUAGCUUUUUGCCCUCCAAGAUAAAUGUUCUCAUCUUUCUCCAGUACUCUCUGAUAACUCAGAGAGCAGCCGCCCUGUAUAUUCCCUUUUUUUUUUAUUAUUAUUCAAAACGUUAUAGAGAAGUUCUUUUACAGAGAAACCCUUUUUAAGAUAACCAUCUAGAUAAAUAACAUUAAUCCCAUAUAUAUCAGGAUAUAUACAAUUACAAAAUAUUAAAAUAUAAUUUUUAUUUUAAAUUUUACAGCUCACGCUAACAUUAAUUCCUAAACAGUACAGCUCACGCUAACACUCUCUUUUCCAUCCAGCAUAAGCAGUCACAACUUACCUCCACGGAAAACUUUAUAGCCAACUUCAACCAAUAUUUAAAAGGAAUUUUGUCCUAUGUUUGAUAAGCAAAAUCAACAGAACCUGUCGUUGACUUUCUAGCUCAAAUUUAGCAGUAGCCAUUUUAAGGAGCAGAAACAAACACUGUACUUUUAUCAUCACGAAAAUCUGGUUGAUUUAUUAUCACGAAAAUCGAAAAUCUAGUUGAUUUAUCAUUACGAAAAUCUAGUUAAAACAAAUUAAUAUGAAAUCAAAUCGAGGAUGAAAGGUUGAUUUUGAGAUCAAGAAUAGCAUGUAUUAAAAAGAUAAUAAAUAAAAUUAGAGUAAUAACAUUGAUACAACUUAUCAUUAAAUUUCAUUUGCAAUUUCCUCUCGAUUUUCUGUAGUUCUGUAGAGACAUAGAUUAGUUGGUUCUUACGGGAAUUUUUCUUCCUUAAUUUCACUCCCAUUUCCCAAACGAUGGAAUUCAUACAACCUUUCGAUUUUAUUUCCACGUAAAAUCCAUUCUUCUCUAUCAAACAGAACAUAAUAAUGGGCCAUAUUUUAAUUUAAAUAUAUUUUUCCUAAUAUUUAAAGUUUUUUUACUGGGAAAAUAUCAUGGGGAUUUGAGAGAAAAGACAAUAGAUAAGAAAGGACAAGAAAAAAAGUGAGAGAAAAUGAUGGUGGGUCUUCAUUCUUCAGGGACCGUAUUGGAACUCUUUGGAGGCAUGCGUGAGAGGUGAAAUGGGAAAGUAUAGGGAACAAAGUGUAAUGUCAAUGAAUAUAUAGGGCUUAAAAUGCAAUUUACCCUUAAUUUUUUCGUGGAUGACGCAGUCACAAGGAGAGGAUAGAUGUCAUUUCUGAAAUGAUAAGACAGAAGUGACAAUAAGUAAAAUUUCGUAAAUCAUCAUCAAUCAAAAAUCAUGACGUGGGGACAAAUCACAUAAUUGAUUGAUUUUACAACCCUUUAAAACAAACUCAUCAAAAUAUUUAAUCCAAAUUCUGAAUAAACAACAAUAUCUAAUGUAGAUAGGUUUGAAUAAUUUGAUGAUUAUUAAUAGUCAAUUGUAGAUUUAUCACAAUUAGAUCAUAUAUAUAAAACCCAAUAAACUCAUAAUACGAACAAAUAUAACUGGGCUAACUUAAGAAAAAAAUACAUUGGUGCAAAAUGACUAGUCUAACUAAAAAAGUUUAAAUUUUAAUUUGACCUCAUGGAAAUCAUUCUCAAAUUUAAUUAGGAGAUUUUAUGGUUUCUAUUCUAUAAAGGGUGUGUGUAGGCUUGAAAGAAGUUAUGCGUGCCAAUUUCGUUAUUUUUUUAAUCUUUUUACAAUUCUAGUUUAAUUUUGGAUUUUAUAUUGUAAGAACCUAUAUCAUAUCAAGAUUAAAUUUCAGUAAAAAAAAAUAUUAGAAUUCUAGUUGUGGAGAGUUUUUUUAUAUAUAGAAUUACGUUUUUCUUUGAGCUUGUUUUUUUCUUAACCGGAUCAACUACAUCAAUCUCCUAAAAAAACGAAAAAAAAAAAAGUUGGGAAUGAAAACUUAAGUGAAAUUUAACAGUCUGCAACAACAAUCCUUUACCGUCCACCAUGAAAUGAUCAACAGGUUUUUUUUAAGGACAAUAUAAAUUCUGAAAGAGCGUAGACAUGAAUGACAGCCAAGAACCACCCAACAGCCAUGCAGGGUCUAGUCUGCAUGGCAAAGGUCCCCUCAAUCGCUGAAUCCACAUGAACACAGUCUAAUGAACUGCUAACAUGCAUUUGGUUGUGGUAAUUCAAUUAUGCGAAGGGUGUCGGUCCGAAUUCUUCAACUUAAACGAACAUGUUUGCGUAAUUAAGUGUUCAAUCACGUACUUAAUUUGCUAUUGAAAACAUUUAGAAUUUAUCAACAAUUUAAUUAAGCAGGUGUAUACAACCUCCCAACAUUUGUAGAUAUCAUUGAAUCAUUAGUUAACACCAAGUAGACUGAGAUCGGAUCAAAAUGUGUCACUUAAGCUCUUAAUAUUACAGAAAACUUACAAUUGCCCUGAUGGUUAAUUAGCACAAAAGACCGGCUUGGAGUUCAGACUAGCCAAAUUGCCCAACUCUUUAAGCCUGAAUUUUAUCACCAUCAUAAAAUGGGAAAAUUAGUUUAGAUAUACAAGGCGAAAUGGAAUUAAUUACCUAACAAUUUGAACUUCAGAUUGGUCAUGCAUGACCACUUGCAGGUCCUCCUAGUGUUAGAACCACACCUUGAAGAUCACUUCUUGGAUCUGAUUCUUUGGCUAAUGAUGGAGCAGCUCUGAUUACCGGAUAUGUUCUGGUCACUUGAGUUUGUCGAGAACUAUGACUGGAUUGUCCUGAGAAUGUUUUUGGAUGAUGAGAAGGCUUCAAGGUAUCAGUAUGAAAUUCAUUCGAAGCACCACCCAGAAACCAGUGCUCAAAAAGCCCCUUUAUAAAGAUAACUAACAGAGAAGGUCACAGACAGCAGAGGAGGUCAGCAUCACCAUCGAUUUCCUUUCUCCAGAAGCAGGGGUUUACCACCACAUCAACACCCAUCUUCCCCGAUCUCUUCAUCUCCUUUAGCACUGAAGAGAAACCGAACGGUGGAGCAGAGAACACAGACAGCAGAGGAGGUCAGCAUCACCAUCGAUUUCCUUUCUCCAGAAGCAGGGGUCUACCGCCACAUCAACACCCAUCUUCCCCGAUCUCUUCAUCUCCUUUAGCUCUGAAGCUUCCUCCAGCAGUGGCCAACACACGGCAGCCCCUACAAAACCAAAAUGAGAUAAAUCUCAAAGAGAAAGAAAGACUCGAACUUGUGUAGCAGAUCUGGACCGAGAUCCAGCCGCCAUCAGCUCUGGCGAUGCCUAACAACCAGAUGUGCUACAGGGAUGAACUCUCGGGCAACAAACAGUGAUAGACUCGAAAGAAGCCAAUCUAAAGGAGGAGAAGGAAAAAAACGCAGAUCUGUGAAAAAAAGACAAUAAUCGAAACUCAAUUAAGAAGAAAUCAUCGCACAAACAAUCUCCCGGACCGGUUGUUGAUUUGGAUCCUUUCCCAAUUGAGGAUGGAAGACUACGGGAAAGAGGAGAUUGGUUGGGGUGGGGAUUGAAGCUGUGAUUUGGGAUCGGUUCAGUUUAUCAAGCAGACUUCAAGAGGUAAGACCCUAUACAAUAACAGUAACAACAAAGAGAACUUUUCAACCCAGCCAUGGAGGGGAAAGCUCUCUCUCAAAAAGCCCAGCCACCGUUCCAGACAAACUUAAUUCCUUCUCACAAACACAAAAAAGAACUUGACCUUCCAUACAAGCCAUAUUACCCCCAGCCUCAGCUACCAUCCAUCACCUUAAACACUCAGACUUCAACAAACUACCGUGAUUUUCAACUACAAUGUUACUUUGAAAACUUCCUAAGUUGGGUCGAUUACCAUAAGCUUAAAGACUGCUUCAGAAAACAGGGGAAAGUUAUUAAGCUGUUUGUUUCUCGAAAAACAAAUCAAGCAGGAAAGCAUUUUGGCUUCGUCACCAUCCUCUCGAAUCUGUCAGACAAAACUCUGCUAGAAUGCUUAAAUGACAUAUGGUUUGAUUCCUACAAGCUGAGAGUUAAUGUGGCUAAGCACAGAAGAAAAGAUGUAGUGACGAAACAGAAAAUAAUGGGAACCGGGAAACAAAUACCCAAGCUCAACAACAAAGCCAAGGCCCCCAUCCGUGUAAGAGACAACCGAAGCUAUCUUGAGGCAGUAAGAUCAGGGAGUCAAGUGCAUCAAGCGUCUGAUAAUGCCACACCACGUCAUCAUAACUUCAUUUCUUUCAACACUACAGAUGAGGAAAUUCUAUGGUUAAGAAAUAGUCUUAUAGGCAAGAUAUCUCAGGGAGUAGAUUAUGCACAAAUCAGACAUGGAUUAAUUCAGCUAGGCAUUUGCUUCUCUGCUUUCCGUUUCCUAGGGGGAUCACAGGCAAUCAUAAGCUUUGAUGGUGAGAAAUCUAUGCAACAAGCCAUGCAGAAAGGUAUGGAAUGCUGGAGGCUCUACUUUGAUGAAGUUCACCCGUGGACUGAAGAAGAUGUGACAGAGAGUCGUCUAGCAUGGAUCUCUAUCUCUCAUUUGCCUAUCUCUGGCUGGAGUUUGAGAUGUAUCUCAAACCUUCUCAUGAACCGUGGACGGGUGAUAGGUUUUGACAAAACCAGCCUAAAAAUCUCUGAACUUCACAGUGUGAAAAUCCUUAUAGGUACUCACUUGCCGGAGAUCCACGACUCUAUAGCUCUCAUGCUAAACUCCAAGUUAGUACACAUAUAGCUGGAUGAGAUUGACCUUUUAAGAUAUCCAGAGGCAAAAGGAAUUUCAUACUCGAUGGCAGAAUUUCAAACCACAUUACUUCAGGGAGAUAGUGCUGACAGUGACUCAGAUGAUGAAGUGUACACUGAUCUUGCUUUUGACUUGGCAGGAGAUGACAACAUUUGCAGGCUAGGUAUCACUGAUAAGAAUUGUGGAUCUGAUGACAAGGGACACACGAUGGAGGUAAGGAAGCACAACCCAUAUGGGACACAUGAGGUGUACGAUCAUAGCUUUGCGUCCACAAUAAAUGCCAUUGACAACACAGAACGGCUACAUAUCGUUGUUGACGAUCUCUUUUACGAUGUGAAUUCAGCAAGCCCACUAGAGCAUCCAAGCAUGGCUUUCAAAAGAGACUCCUUCUUGCCACAACCUUAUACCCCUGUUAGCAGUGAUGAUUCUUUAGAAUCCCACUUCAAAAUCCAAAGCCUACCUCUUACAUCUAACCAACAACAGACCCCAACAGCCAAACAACCAAGACUAAAGAAAAUAUCCUCUACUAGGAGUCUCCUCUCCUUGCACUCUUCAGCAAGCAUGUCUUCUAUAGACUCUUACAUCAGGGUGAAUAAUACCCGUAACCUGAAAGAAUAUGCAGCGGAAUCGUCCCACAAUGAAGUCAACAAAAUGAUCCGUUUGGGAGAAGCUUUGGGUCUUGGUAAUUCAGCUCUCUUGGAACAAUUUUCUGGUCUUAUCAUAAGACAGCUAGAAAAGGAGAAGGAAGAUUGGCAGAAACAACAAUGAAUAGUAAGUUUUCAUCCCCUGCAGAUAGGCCUUUUAAUUCUGUCAUGAAUAUUCUUUCUUGGAAUUCCUGUGGCUUGGGCAUGAUGAGGAAACGAAGAAGAAUCACGAAAUUAAUAGCAGAAUAUAAGAUUGAUAUAUGUUUCAUGCUGGAAACUAAGCUAGCUAAUUGUUCCAUUGGUUUUGUAUCUCGUAUUUGGAAUGAAAAUCAUGUGAGUUGGUUUAGUAAUGAUGCUCAAGGAUCAAAAGGAGGUCUGCUUGCUAUGUGGAAAAACACUAACUUUGAAGUCUCUAAUAUUGAAUAUGGUCAUGGUUGGAUCGGUUUAUAUGGUAAACAUGUUCACAGUGAUUUUCAUUGCUUUGUUAUUGGCAUCUAUGCUCCUUGUAACUAUCAGGACAGACAAAAACUUUGGGAGGAUCUCAUUCUUCUGAAGCAUGCUUUUGAAGUUCCAUGGAUAAUAGCAGGAGAUUUUAAUGAAACGCUCUCUCAGAAAGACAGAAACAGUGGAAUUUGUCAUCCUGCAGGCUCAAAUUCUUUUAGCAGAUUCCUGCAGUCUUGUGAGCUCACUGAAUACCCUUUAGCAGAAGGUUAUUUUACCUGGUUUAGAGGAAGGUCCAAGAGCAAACUAGAUCGAAUGUUCGCAAGCUCAACCUACCAUCUUCACUUCCCCAGUUUAUCUCUUCGACGACUUCCAAGAGAGUUCUCAGAUCAUUGCCCUCUAAUUCUAUGUAGCUUCUUGCAAGACCAUGGAUGGCGUCCUUUUCGUUUCUUGGACUGUUGGACUCAAUACCCAAAUUUCAAGCACAUUAUUGAAAGCUUCUGGAAUGAUGCAUGCUCCCUUCACCCUGGCCGCUUUAAAUUUCUCAAAAAGCUUAAUCAUAUUGCAGUCAAAUUGAGGCAAUGGAAUAAGCUUGUAUUUGGAAAUCAAGAAGCUGGCCUUCAACGAACCCUUUCAGCUAUCAACAUACUAGAGGAAAAAUGUGAAGAAGAAGGUUUAACCGACCAAGAGCAGGAGCAUUUAGACUUUUUGUUGAAAGACCGCUGGGUUCGCAACAAUCACAUUGAAUCUAUUUGGAGGCAGAAAUCAAGACAGAUGUGGUGCAAAUUGGGUGACAGAAAUAACAAGUUUUUUCACAUGAUUGCCAAUUUCAGGAAGGCUAAAUCAUCAAUACUUAAAAUCCACCAUAAUGGCAACACUUUUGACUCUCAGCAGGGAAUUAAGCAGGCUGCUGUGGAUUAUUUCUCUGAGCUGUAUGACUCUCCCUCUGGUAAAAAGCCGCAGUUAAAUCCUUUGGGUUUCAAAUGUCUCUCUAAAGAAUCCUCUGAAUGGUUGGAGCAAGAAAUCACAAUGGAAGAAGUGAAGCGCGGUGUAUGGGGUUGUGAUGGGUCAAAAUGUCCUGGACCAGAUGGUUUCAACUUCAAAUUCUACAGAUUAGCAUGGGAUUUUAUUGCUCAAGACAUUCUCGAUAUAGUCUUAAGCUUCUUCAGAACAGGAAGGCUUCCCAAAGGAAUCAAUACAACCUACGUAACUCUCCUCUCUAAGACAGUCGAACCCAUUGAGUUUAAAGAUUUUCGGCCCAUCAGCAUGAUUCAUGGUAUUUAUAAGAUCAUUGCUAAAAUCCUUGCUUCUAGACUGAAAGUUGUUAUGCAAGAUAUCAUUAGCAUUAACCAAUCAACGUUUAUAGCAGACCGUAACAUUAUAGAUGGCUUUAUGAUUGCAAAUGAGCUGGUGAAUGAUCUAAAAAAGCAAAAAGCGGCAGGUUUGAUUUUCAAGAUUGAUUUUCAUAAAGCUUUCGACUCAGUCUCCUGGGAUUACCUAGAUGAUAUCAUGGGUUAUAUGGGGUUUGGUAGAAAAUGGAGAACCAUGAUUUAUGAAUGUCUUUCUUCAUCAAAACUCUCGGUUUUCAUCAAUGGAUCUCUUUCAAAAGAAUUCUCUGUUCGGCGAGGGCUGCGUCAAGGAGAUCCGAUUUCCCCUUUUCUGUUUGACAUAGCUGCUGAGGGCCUCUCUGUACUCUUUCAAAGGGCAUCUAGUGGGAAUAUUAUCAAAGGGCUGCAAUUUGCAUUAGGAAUUUUUGUCAGCCAUCUUCAAUAUGCAGAUGACACAUUAAUAUUCAUCCCAGCAGAUAUUGAUCAGUUAGUUCAAGUCAAAAGAAUUUUAAGAUGGUUUGCUCUGUCUUCAGGCCUUCAUAUAAACUUCCAUAAAAGAUCCAUUAUUGGUAUCAAUGUCGAUGAUCACUUGUGCUUGCGCUUGGCUACAUCUAUUUUCUGCAGAUCAGACUCCCUCCCAAGCAAAUAUCUUGGCAUGCCAUUAGGAGCCAAUCCAUCUCGUAUCUCCACAUGGAAGCCAGUGAUAGAGAAGUUUCGUAAAAGGCUUCAUAUAUGGAAGGGGAGACUACUAAGCAUGGCUGGUCGUCUAUGUCUCAUUAAAAGUGUCCUUAAUUCCCUGCCUAUAUAUUUUAUGUCUGUAUUCAAGAUGCCAAAAGGGGUAGGCAGGCUUCUUUCAUCCAUCCAAAGACGUUUCUUGUGGUGUGGAUGUACCAAGCAAAGAUCUUUCUGCAAGAUCCAAUGGAGAAUAGUGAUGCGCGAUAAGAAACAAGGAGGCCUCGGUGUAGGCUCCCUUAUAUCAAAAAACAGAGCCCUGCUUCUAAAAUGGAUUUGGAGACUCUCUUCCCCAGGUACAAGCUUAUGGAAAAUGAUUAUCUCUUCAAUGUACAAUCCAUCUUAUGAGAAUGGGAUCCCAAUUUUCUACAACCAACCAUCCAAGAUAUGGAAGGAUAUUAUGUCCAUCGUUCAAACCGACGUUCACCAAGUCUUCACGAAUCAUUGCAAAUUCAUGGUGGGGAAUGGCAAUUUAACAUCCUUUUGGCUAGACAGCUGGAUUGGUGACGACCCUCUCAAAACAGCCUUCCCAAGGCUAUAUCUUUUGUCUUCCUCUAAAACUGCUUUGGUGGCUGACAUGGGUAGAUGGAGCAAUGGAAUCUGGCUCUGGUCCCUACAAUGGCGCAGACCUCUUUUUCAUUUUGAACAAGAACAACUAUCACUUUUAUCAUCCUUGCUGGAAUCCAAGCCAAUGUUCUGCCACAAGAUGGAUAAGAAAAUCUGGACCCUCAACAACGAUGGCCUCUUCAGUGUAAAAUCUUGCUCCAAAAUGAUGGACCAGUUACUCUACGGUGGAGCCAAACCAUUCCAAUCUUCUGUUUGGAUAAAACUAACCCCACCAAAAGUGCAGCUUUUCCUUUGGCUCCUUGUCCAAGACAAAGUAACCACAAGAGAUUUCCUAUUUCAACGCGACUACCUCUCCCUUCAGGAGUCAAGAUGUGCUUUCUGCAAUAAAAGCUUGGAAUCUUCAAGUCACCUCUUCAUUCACUGCCACUUCUCUUGGAAUAUAUGGAUGAAACUGUUUUCUAAUCGGGGCUUUUGCAGUGUUUUUCCAAAAUCUGUUGAUGAUAUGUGCUACCAAUGGUCUUCUAUGGUUAAAGGCAAGCAACAAAAUCUCUCAUGGCAACUUCUUUUCUCAUGCGUUGUUUGGAAUCUUUGGCUUCAUCGAAAUGAUGUUAUUUUUAAUGACGCUGCCCCUAACCAUCAAAUCUGUUUCUCCAUGGUGCGCCAAAGUAUUGCUUUAUGGUUGAGGCUUGACUCCAACUCUUUCGAGCUUAACAUAGAGAAUGUUUAGUCGGGAGGAGUUGGUUUCUUUUGAUUUGUCUGUUCUCCUUUUGUUGUUAUCCCCUGUUUCAUGAAACAGUUUUUGUGCUUCCCUUUCCUCUGCUUGUUCUUCUGAUGUAAGUUAGGCUACUAUCUUUGUAGCUUUUUCCUUUUAAUAAAAUUUCGACUAUUAACAAAAAAAAAAAAAAAAGGUAUCAGUAUGAUUGGAGUUUGGAAAUUGAUGAACAAUGGGGAUUGGAGUUGCUGGUGAUGCAUGAUUUUGAGCUAGAAUUGCCCCUCUCGAUACGAAACCAGGUGCCUGAUAGAUAAAAUUAGGUUUCAAUACGAGUUCGAAAUAUACUGCAAAUGAGGGAAGUAAUGAGGAGCUUACAGGUGAAAACAAGACCCCUCUGAAAAUCUUCCCAUUAACAGUUGCAGUCAUUAGAAGGCCUAAGUCGAAGGCUCCGUCAACUUUACCUCGAACUUCAGCACCAACCUAUGGAGAAAGAGAAGAAAGUGAAAAGCAAGUAUUAGCAGAACAGGAAGGAAGACAGACAAAAAAAUUUGUAAUUGACAAUGUUUUGCAUUGCAUAUAUCAACUUAAUGAUUUACCAGGUUUUGAGUACACCCUGGCUCCAUGGAUCUAUGUUCCACUGCUGGGAAUGGUGUUCCUUGCCUGCCAAACCCUGCAUGAACAUAUUGUUCUACUCUUUUAUUCUCUUGAAACUUGGAGCCUGUGCCGGGUUUUUUGGAUCACAAGUCUAGGUAGUUUCUGAUUACAUGCAACACUAUCAGCCUGGUAAUUUCUUGGAAUUUUGUAUAAUUAAAUAAUCUAAUCUUAAACCACUACUCCAAUUGUUGAUAUAAAAGUUUAAAACCGAUCUAAUUAAAAGAAUUCAAAAUUAAGUGUGAAAAAUAACUAAAAUAAAAAAUUAAUUCAAAUAACAAAAACAAAAUCUUUUGCAUCUGAUUUGAGAAAAUUUAUGUGGUGGAUGACCGAGCCUGUAAAAUUAUAUGAUAAAAUUUAAGUAUAAUUUAAAAAUUAAAUUUAAAAUUAUUUUUAUCAGGUUUUAUGUCUAAUGUGUUGAAUUUGUUUAUGGAUUUCUAUUCAGGCUUAAUCAUAAACGUCUUUGUUUACACGUCAUAAUUAAAGCAUAAAAUGUCGUGUAAGCCGAUGCUUGACUUUUUUAAAAAAUAAUUUAGUUUCGGUUGACUCACAAAAUUGAGACAUCUAGCUAGUCACUCAUGGCUUUAGACGUACCUCUUGUAAAGAUAUCAACGGCUUUACGUCUACCAAGUGUCAGAAGAUUAGAGAUUGAUAUUGUUAGAAUGUUGUUAAUAUUGUUUGUUAGCUAAGAGAGUUUGUUAGUAUUGUUUCAGUGCUAAGAGAAAGAACAGAUACCGUGUAUUACCUUUCUAAUAUAGCCUAUAUAAACUGAGGAUUAGUGAUGUGAAAAUAAUGAAAGAAAAAGUAAUAAUAAAACAGUGCGAGACUUCAUCUUCUGCUUCUCUGUAACAGAAUUAUUCUAUAUUCUUCUUCCUUUCUAUUCUCUGCACUUUCUUCAUUUCUGCUCCUUUUCUGUAUAAAUUCUACCGUCUAUCAUGGUAUCAGAGCAGUAACUGGUCCGAUGGGAUGUCUUCUGAUUGUCAAGAAUUAUACUGGCGAUCGUCUAAAUUUUGGUUUGGCUGCUAAGCAAGCAAAAUCUGAAGGUUAUAAAGUAGAGACUGUAAUUGUUGGAGAUGACUGUGCUUUACCUUCACCUCGAGGCAUAGCUGGACGAAGAGGGUUGACGGGGACUAUUCUUGUUCAUAAGGUUGCUGCAGCUGCAGUUACUGUUGGCCUUUCUCUUGAUGAAGUUGCUGCAGAAGCGAAACGUGCAUCUGAAAUGGUUCUAAUAUCUUGCUAAUCUCUGUUUCUGUAGAGAGAGCAAUACGGUCUCUUAAGAUUCAUACUUCUCAACAAGCUUGCACAAAGAGUCACUAAAUUGCUUUUGGCCACUUGCCAGAGCAAGUACGAUAGUCUUCUCCAUCAAAUCCUGAAGAAGAUCAAUAUAUAACAAAGAGUCGCCGCCAAUGUAUUACCAGCAGCCAUUAAUCUCUGUUUCUGGCAUUAUUAUCUCCUUAUCUACACAAUUCUUUCAUAAUAAUCGAUAUGUCUAUCAUUUGUUUGAUAUAUUGUCAAACUGAAAAAUUCUUCUUCAAAUCUUCAACUUUCUGCAAGAUUCUUCCUUCUCAAUCUUUGAUUCUCUUCUUUUCUAUCUCUUGCACUCUAAAAAUGGCGACUACUUCUCAACUUCAGAUAGUUCAACUCUAAUAAGAGAAUAUACACAUAAACGUUUUCUUCUUCCUCUACACUACAUAAUUUCUCUCUGCUUCUCUUCAUCUCUAUUCUCUGCUUUUCUUCUCUUCAUCUAUAUUGCUUCUAUUCUCUGCUUUUCUAUUGCAGUAUCUCCCUCUAAUUCUAUUCACUUCUUUGUUCAUCUCUGUGACGAUUCUUGCUAGCUUUUCAAAAUAUUUCUUCUAUCUCCAUUGCUUCCAAUCCAGUGUUCCAUUCCAGGAUGAAACAUCUCCAGAUCGAUUAUCACUUUGUUAGGGAACGGGUUAUCAAGGGUGAUUUACUGGUCCAGCAUGUCUUCUCUACUGAUCAGUUUGCUGAUAUCCUCAUCAAAGGUCUUUCCAUUUCUUUGUUUCAGCAUCAUUGUUCCAAUCUCAUGCUUGGCUCCUCCAAGCCUGCGAUUGAGGGGGCAUGUAAAGAUAUCAACGGCUUUACGUCUACCAAGUGUCAGAAGAUUAGAGAUUGAUAUUGUUAGAAUGUUGUUAAUAUUGUUUGUUAGCUAAGAGAGUUUGUUAGUAUUGUUUCAGUGCUAAGAGAAAGAACAGAUACCGUGUAUUACCUUUCUAAUAUAGCCUAUAUAAACUGAGGAUUAGUGAUGUGAAAAUAAUGAAAGAAAAAGUAAUAAUAAAACAGUGCGAGACUUCAUCUUCUGCUUCUCUGUAACAGAAUUAUUCUAUAUUCUUCUUCCUUUCUAUUCUCUGCACUUUCUUCAUUUCUGCUCCUUUUCUGUAUAAAUUCUACCGUCUAUCACCUCUAACUUCGCUUACUAUGCUUAUUAUGCAAAGCAAUUAUUUUCAAGCUUGUGGAACGGGGUGUUCCUCCAUCUUCUUGUUUAACUGCUUUCUUCAUAAACUUGGGAAGUCAUGUGUUAUGAACAAUUGAUUUGAUCUUGUGAAAUAUAUGGCAGAAGAGAUUAGAAAAUGACUUCUAUUAUCAAUAAUUUCUUCUUCCUUGUGAAAUGAUUUCCCGAUACAGCUCUUAAUUUCAACACCUGCUUGCUCUUCUUUUCUUAGUAGACCUGGGAAGCAAAGAUUCCUAAUUAUCCACAUCAUCAAUCGCGAUCCCAUCAAAAAUGAAUUUGGUGGAAGAAAGAAAAACAAAUUGAAAGAAAAAUUAUCAAUUAAGAUUUCAUGUCGUCACAAAAAACAAUUACGAGCUUCAUAAGAUAAUUUUAGCUAGUUUGUCUUAAACUCAUUAGAACAUCCUUUAAUCUUCAACUGCUGUCAUUUGAGAUUUCAUGUUUGUGUUUUCAAUUAAGAUUACACAUCCAUUUGUCAGAAAUACGCACCAAUAUUCCUUAUUACCUAACCUUAAUCCUGUAAUUCUGAUUCUGAACUGCUCUUUACACUCCUUUUCCAUCGAUCAAUACAGAUCAAUCUUUAUUAUUUGCUCCAGGUUGCUGCUGCUGGUUACUCUGUCAUGGAUUAUUAUUUUUCAGUAGUCAGUUAUCCUAGUGCUUGCUUGGACAUGCUCAACAAUGGAGUUUCUCUAAAUGUAAUUCCCACAGUGAAAUCUUCUGUCAAAGUCAUUUCAAGCCGGAAAAGAUCAGGAAAAUGCAGUCUUGAAACAUCAAGCGAAUAGUGCCCAGCAGGAAAAAUUCGUUUCUACUAACAAAUGGAAUGUAAAGUUGAUCCAAGGAUGCUACUAACUUACAAGAAAUUAAAUCAUCAAAGAAAAAAUAUCCACUAGAAGAAGUGUUCUUUCCUUCUAUUUAAAAAGAAUUCGAAAUUUUACUAGACCCUAAUAACAUGAAGUAAAUCUGUUUUUUUUACUCUUGGCUUGUUCUCAAAAAUUUUAUUGAUAUUAAUUAAAUAACAAAGACAAUGAUGUAGCUAGUAUGAACUAUGAAAAUUGAGAACGAGAGGGAUGAUCAGGAAUGGAUUAAGAAAAAUGGGCUUGAAAGAGACCCAACAGGAGAGAAAAAUCUAAAAUAAACUCUUGAUGUCUUUCAUAACUCAAUUUUUGACUCUUUUUAUUUUAUUAUUAUUACUAUUAUUUUAUUUAUUGAAAAAUGAUAAUAAAAAAAAUAAUGAUGAAAAGAAAAUAAAAAAUGAAGAAUAAAUUAAAAUUAGGUUAAGGCAACAUGAUUGGAAGUUUUGGGGAUUAAUUAAAGUUUGGAAUUAAUUCAAUCAAGGGUUUAAUUGGAGAAUUGAUAAGUUUUGAGAUUAAUUGAGUUUGGAAUUAAUUGAAUUAAUGAAAAUCAAGGAUUUAAUUAGAGAAUUGACAAGUUGUUAGACUUAUUUGAACUUGGAAUUAAUUUAUUCAUGGACUUAAUUGAAAAACCAUCAAAGUAUAGGGCUGAUUAUGGUCAAAUUUGCAAGAAAUUAAAACCCAAGGACCAAUGUGUAAAUGGCGCUGAGAUUCAGGGGUUCAAUUACAAUUUACCCAAGGACUGGACUGCAAAAAGUCAACAUGUCUAGGAUGAAAACGCAAAAGGCCAUUAACAUCAGCACUGUUCAUCUUCUUCACCCGAAAACGCAUGCCUUUAUUGCAUUAAAAUCCAUGCAACCGCAUGGCAUUCUCUGGUUAUAAAAACCAGAGAAGGAGAACGAGCACCAGGUUAGAGAGGGGGAGAGGAGAAAAUAAACAGACUUUCAUUCCUCUGUUUCUUCUUAAGGAAACAGAGGAGGUUAAAGAAAAAAGCAACAAACAGGAGGAAAAAAGAGCAAAACCGGGGGGAAAAAGGGAGAGAAGACAGAGAGAGUGAGCGACCGAAAAGGGGAAAACAAAAGGAAAAACUGAGAGACAGGGGAGAAAAGGCAGAACCGAGGGGACUAAAGGGGGGGAAUAAAAGAAGAAAACAGAGGAGACAAAAACCGGGGAGAGGGGGAGACACAGAAUCAGUUUCAACCAUCUCUUCACCAUCUUCAACAACUCUUCAGCCUCCAGGAACCCAGACAGGAGAAGAAACCCCAUCGACUUGCUUUGGGAAGACGCAGAGUUACAGAAUAGAGAGCGGAGAAGCAUACGAAAAAAAGAGGGGGGCAAGCUUCCAUUCAACCGACAGCACCUAGCAUCUUCAUCACCAUCGUUGAUGUCCUGAGCAGAGGAAACACAGAAGGAAGACCAAGGAAAGCAGUAGACAAGAGUCACCACCAGCGUCACCACUGUUUUUGUCGCCUCCAGAAGCAGCAGCUUCAGAUCUCCAUCUUCAGUAGCCACUGCACCAGAAACAGGGCACUCCAGGAGAGAAAUACAGGGAAGAACCGGGGAAGAAAAGGAGAAAGAGAAGGAAGAAGAGAGGAAGAACAAGAGGUGGCAGCGCCGUUCGUCCAGCGCAGUGCGCCAUCGUCUCCGGCUACGCCUUGCUGCACCAGGUAAGUCUUCUCUCGUCUCUCCCCUCCUGCGUUAUAUUUCACUUGCCACUCUAGCAAGUGAAUUAUAAUUAAUUCACUACCCAACCGGGUCACUGGCUUCGGCCAGUGACCAGACCAGGAAUGUUGGGUCUACCUAGCCAUGUAGGCUGGAUCAGACCCAGCCCCACAAAAAAAAUAAAAAAAAUAAAAAAAAAAACAAAAAAAAACUAGAAAGUGUAGAAAUAAAAAUUUUACAUGUCUUAGGAAAAAUGUAUUUUUGUCAAUUUAUUCACUGAUAUUAGGAUCAGAAAUAAAAAAAAAUAUAUACUGAUUUUUUUUUAGCUAUGAAUUUCUACACCAGAGUUGGAAUUAUUCAUGGUGGAAUUUUUACCAACGCUAGAUUUGGAAUUAUUCGUGGUGGAAUUUUUAAACUCUAGAGUUGGAAUUAUUUGGGGUAGAAUUUUUACCAACACCAGAGUUGGAAUUAUUUGAAAUCGAAUAUUCACUGACACUAAAGUCAGGAAUAUUAUAAACAAAUCAUCAUAGCAUAAGCGAAUAAAUGUUUAGUAAUUUAAGACAAAACCAGCAAUGCAGUCUGCCUCAGGCAGAACAUUUAAAGGGUGAUAAUAUCUUCCCUUUUACAUAACCAAUCCCGAACCAUAGAAUCUCUGUUGACUAGUUAGGGUUUCUAGUGGCGACUCCUUAAACAAGAUUUUUUUCCCCUAAAAGAACAAGAUGCCAGAAAUCUAUUUUUUAUUCUUUUUCCAUAAUGAAGAUUAUUUUUAGAGCCGCCGGGUGCGACAAUGUUUAAAAUAGCCUAGAAGUAGGGCUUAGAUAGCUAGGGCUGAGAAAAUUGCCAAAAUAGGUAAAUACUGAUUAUUCAAUAAAUAAAUAAAAUAUUGCCUUGUUUUAAGUUUAGACUUAUGUUCUUUCAGCAAACAAAAUUAUUGUAGAACCACAUUCCACCUUGCUGGUAUGAUCCUGUGGUUCUAUCAAUUAUUUUAUUAAUUGAGAAAAUACUGUAAACUAUUACAAUUGUGAAUAAAUUCCAUAUUAUUAGGGAUAUAGUAAUCACAAGAAGCCAAGAAAUCUAAGAGCAAAACGCAACAUAAUUAAGACAUAACAAACAAAUAUGGAUACAAGCACAAGAACAAACACAAGUCACAUCAAAACAGAAAGGCUAAGCAACAAGAACCGGACACUUCGACAGAACACUUCUCACAGGCAAAUUGCUAAACAUGCAGUGAUCAACCCUUGAUUUGGAAUGCGACUGCAUCCCCAUAGAGGAUCACAACAAAUUCAGAAAGCAGCCCACACGCUGAUAAGACCCAAUCACCUUUUGAAUCUGGACAACUUGCGAAAGUUUAUAGCCAAAAAGCAGUAGCAAGUGUCAAUGCACUCUUCAAUGAAGUAAAACCACCUGCGUCGCCAAUGCGGAUUUAUGCACAGUACUGCUGCAAUUGUCAACACCACAAUUAUGUAAAACACACCAAAGCUGGCAUAGAAACUGUCCAUGUCUAUUAAUCCAUCAUCUCCAUUGGAAUUGUUAGGCACUCUCACUGAUGGUGAUUCUGUUUUGUCGCAACUGUUUUGCAAUGGAGGUCCACAAAGAAGAGGAUUCCCUUUAUAACUGCUCUCAUCAAAGGUAGCAAAUUGAUAUUUCAUCUCCGGUGUUCUUCCUGACAAAUUAUUGUACGACACGUUGAAAACUGCUAGAAAGUUCAGUUCAACGAGUUGUGCAGGAAUUCUCCCAUUCAAGUUGUUGUGAGAAAGAUCCAAGCUCUCUACGUGCUUCAGAUUGGAGAAAGAUGAAGGGAUCAAUCCCGUGAGAUUAUUUUGUGACAGAUUUAGAGCGAAUAUGUCACUUAAGUUUCCCCAUUCUGUCGGGAUUUCUCCAGUGAAUCUAUUACAAGACAGAUCCAUAGCAGACAUGUAACGAAGGAUAUCGCCCUCGUAAGUGUAGAAAUUUUUCUUUGCUGUAAGCUCUACAGCUAUUUUUACAUCAAUCUCUGGCCACAUAGUUUUGCUAUCAAUAUGAAAACCUCUGUUACCCAAUUUUCUCCCCCCUAUGGAUGCCAAUAUUUCUUUCUGGCUUCCAUCAUCUUCUGACACCGUAUCUGUGACGACCAAAGUUUUUUCACCCGAUGCCGUAAAAUUUAAAUUGCUUAAACAUAAGGGUAACGGACCAGAAAAAUUAUUUUCUGAAAGAUCCAAUAUGCUUAAUUUCCUUAACAAGCAUACCUGAACAGGAAGUUCCCCAUUGAAUUGAUUAGAUUUCAGAAGAAGAAUGCUCAAUUUCGAUAGUCUAUCAAUCCAAUUUGGAAUUGGCCCAGUUAAGUUGUUAUUGCCAAGAUCUAAUGUCACCAAAUGAGAGCUAUUAUAAAAAGCAUUUGGCAGUGGACCACUCAAUCGAUUUCUGUAUAGGUGGACAUAGCGUAAAUAUGGUGUUUGGAAGCCCAACGACAAUGACCCAGACAGAUUGUUUUCAGAAAGAUCUAAAAAUUCAAGCAAAUAACAUCUGAAAAGCUCUAUUGGAAUGGUACCUUCAAAAUGAUUUCUGGACAAGUCAAUUCCCUGCAAGAAUAUUGAAGAGUUCCCAAUUCCCUUUGGAAGCGUGCCUGACAAAAGAUUGUUACUGAUAUCAACCAACCAAAGUGAUGAUGCAAGAGAAAAGGUGCCAGAUACUUGUCCAACAAAUUUGUUUCCAUCUAGAAAGAGGUAACGCAGGUGAGUCAUGUUGAAAACAAAAGGCGGUAAUCGCCCUUUGAAAUUGUUAUUGGACAGCUUCAAAAACCACAACGAGGAGCCUCCUGUAGGCAAGUUAUGCUCAAGUAGUUCACAAGUCAUAUGAUUGUUGGAAACAUCCAAGUAUGCGAGAGAGCUCAUAUUCCCAAAAGGAGGAAUGCAACCUGUAAGGUUGUUGUUAGCCAUCAAGAAGUUCUUCAAACGUGGAAAAAUCAAACAUGUGUUUCUUGCAAUUUGACCAUGGAUGUUGUUGUCAGAAAUAUCUACUGUCCGAAGGUUGGGUGUUGGAUGUUGUGGCAACUGCAAAGGACCUGUAAUUGAGGUGUCUCUCAAAUAUAAUCGAUUUAACAUUCUAUUAUUCUCAACCAGCCAUGAUGGGAAAGGUUGUCCAAUGAAUUUGUUGUGGGAUAGAUCAACAAACAUCAAAUCAUAUUGGCUAUGGAGGAAGUUUGGAAAUCCAGCCUUGAGUGGUUUUGAAGUACAGUUUGAAGCACUGAAAAAACGAAGCUGGAACUUGGUAGCUGAAGGCUGAAAACUGGGUGCAGGUAUUAGCUCAUUGUUAUCGCAUGCAAUGAACUUGAGGUUGGAGUGGUUCAUAAAUGAACCAAAAGAUAUUGGAACUUGAAAGUAAUUAUUUGAAACUGAGAGGUAUUCAAGCUGCGUAAGAUGGGAGAGGUGACUAAAGGCAAUAUUUCCCUCCAAUUGAUUGUCAGAUAAAUCCAAGAAUUGUAGAAAUGAUAGAUUUCCAAGACAAGGAGGGAGCAAGCCCGUUAGUUUGUUUCCUGAGAGAAAUAGCUGUUCAAGAUUCGUCAGUUCACACCAGCCUGCACAUUAUAUCCAUAUGUUCAUGUCAAGGGAAUAGGAAUAUAUCAAUUAUGUACUAUUCGUUGAGAGAUCUAUUCGAAUACAAGUUUAUUAGCGAUUUAAUUUACCUUGGUGAGGCAGGGUGCCAUUUAGCAUACAGCUUUCCAGAGACAAAAUUCUGAGAGCAGGAAACGGUCCAAUAUUUAGAAGAAAACUUGCUGUCAUGGGAGAAGCUCGAUCCAGGAAUAGCUCUUCAAGUUUGGUGAAAUUCUGCGGUCCUAAAGGAUUAAGAAAGGUGCGUUCUUAAUAUCAUUUGAGUUGAGAUUGAAGGAAGCGGAAACAUAAAGGGAUUGGGUUAUUAAAAAAAAAUUAUUAUGGGAAAUUAAAAUCAUUUCCGACAUAAAUUUCUAUUUUAUUGAUCCAUAUGUAUAACCAGCUUAUAAAAGGAAAAACGGAGAAAUUUUUGUUGAUAAAAUUACUAAAUAUCGUCAUAAACGUAAUGGUUUAAUAACAUGAAAAUUCUUUUAUUCUUUCAUGGGAAAUUUUUAGAUUCAUCAUUUGACACAUAUUUUUGCUAUCCGAAGAAAGGAGCUUGAGAUUUGAGUGGUUCAUAAAUGAUUCAACUACUUAACAAAACUGGGACUUGAUUGUAAGACACAUCCACCAGUUGUAAUAGAUGACAAGUUUCUCAAACAAGUUGUGAUGAGGGACACGUAUCUACAAGUUUAAACUCAGAAAGAAGUCUGAAUGUGUCAAAUAAUCUUUUAAUUACCUUGAGCAGGUCCGGUGCCAUGGAAGUCAGCUCUGGUCAAGGAUAAAACUUUAAGAGUAGACAAGGGUCCAAUGUUCCGAAGAAAGCUUGUUGGGAGAGAAGAAUAAUCGAGGAACAUUUCUUCAAGGCUAGUCGAAUUACACAAUCCUGUGGAACAGAUAAGAUAAAUCCAUUAAUGAAAGUGAUAUAUAAAUAUCAUGUUUUAGGCUCCAAACUGUAACUGACCUUUACCAGAGUGUAUUCCUUUAAAUUUGCUCCCAGUAGCAUAUAAGCUCUUGAGGGAUGGCAACGCUCCCAAUGACUCUAUCAAAAUGCUUUCCUUGAAGUCAAUUAUUUCCAGAUACAAGAUUUCUAAAUUCCUCAAACCUGUGAUGGAGAGCACAAUUAAUAAUAAUGGCUUUUUUAUUUUUUAUUUUUUAUUUUUUCCUGAUUCCAAGUGGUACAGAUAUGUGUGUUCUACAAUUUGUUUUAUUUAUGUGUUGUCAUCUGGAAUAAUUUGGAGCACUAUCGUAGAAUGAGCAGGGGUGCAUGCAGAGUAAUUGAUCUAGCAGUUUCCGGCUGCUGUGUUCUACAAAUUUUUGUUCUUGACUUUUUGUUUGCUCUAUCUAGUUGGAAGUUUUAGCUCAAAAUUGUUGAUAUAAAUAAUUUCUAAUGUUAAAGAUUAAUAUAUAAUUAUUAUUAGAAACUUACCCAACAAUUUAAGUCUUUGAAUUAAAUUAAUUUUAAUAUGAUAUUAGAAUUUUAAUAACCAAAUGUUUAUGAAUUUAAAUCAUCUCACCUCCAUUCCUUUAAUAUUUUUUAAAAAAUAAUCAGCACUAGCGAAAGGUAUACCAUGUAAGAAUCCAUAACUAUUUCACUUGAAAAAAUAUGUUAAAGGAAUUAAUUAUAUAAAAGCAUUUAUAGGGCUUCAUUCAUCUGCUUGAUGAUUAAUGCACAGCUAAUUAUUAAAAAAGUUAACAAAAUAAUAAAUUAAGCCUCUCUAAGGAAUGUCAUCGAGGUAGGAAUGAUUUACCAUUGAGACCAAUUGAUCCUGUAAACUUAUUUUUUGAUAGAUGUAGAGAUUUGAGAGUUGAAAAACCACCGAGAGAUGAUAAAAUACUAUCGUUAAAUUUAUUGUCACUCAGUUCAAGUUCCUGCAAUUCCCUCAACCCUGAUGCUAGCUCGUGAAAACCUAUAAGAAAAUUGUCAAAAGCAAAAAAAUUAACAAAUAUAUAUAUUUCAACCAUCCAUUAUCCAUAAAAGUUCAAUGAAAUAUAAAUUUAUGUAUUAAUUUUUUAUAUACCAAUUGUUCCUGUGAACCUAUUGUUUGAUAGAUGUAGAGAUUUGAGAGUUGAAAAACCACCGAGAGAUGAUAAAAUGUUGUCGUUAAAUUUAUUGUCACUCAGAUCAAGUUCUUCCAACUUUCUCAACCCUGAAGCUAGUACUUGAAAACCUGAAAGAAAAUUGUCAGAAUAAAAAAGAUUACACCUGAAAUUUAUUUUUCAUUGAACUUUUUUGGAUAUUGGGAUAUUGUAUGAUAUAUAUACCCCAAUAUCCAUAAAAGUUAAAUGUAAAGUUACUUGAAAUAUAACUUGAAGUGUUAACUAAAAACAAUUGAACCUUGAUUCUCUAAGACACCAUCUAAUCGGUUGUCGCUUAAGUGGAGAAUCUCCAAUUCUUUGAAAGGCAGAAACAAAGAUGCAUUGAGAUCCAAGUCUUCGAAUGGAAAAGAACUUACACCUGAAAGAUGAAGUUCGAUCACUCGGUUUGUGGUGCUGUCGCACACAACCCUACCCCAGUUACAGCAAUUAAAAUGCUCUUUAUCCCAACCUUUUGAUAGAGGUAGUAUAGAUAACCCAGCAGUUGCAUGACUGAACCAAGCUUUUAUCUCUAAGAGACUAAUUCUCUCUUCCUCUAAACAACAAUGGCACCGCUCGUUGACGAAGGCCAGUGCCAUGAGCAGCAUCCACACCCACAUUUGCCUCAUCUUCAUAUUGACUCUCCUACUUGACAAAAUACAAUAGCAAUCAAGUUGUCUCUUAUAUACAAUUUUGUCCUCUUCAUGCAUUUGAUCGGACAGUGACAGUUAUCUGUAUCAUUGAAUUAAUUAUCCAAGGUAGACUUGGGCUUAAUUGAAUGGGAGAGUCUUCACGGACAGUGCUAGCCGUGGGCCCGCACCACGGCACAGAUCAACGUGGUUGUUGAUAUAUAUUUUUUUGUUAUACUAUCUUAUUAUUUAAUUCUUUUUUGUUUUUAUGUUUUAUGUUUCCCUGAUCUACUAUUGCAUUUAGUACCUUAACAAUAUGCAUUCAUUGCCAUCUAGAAUUUCAUUCAAUAGAGCGAUUAAUCAAGAAACUUAUUAUUGACUUUCAUUUAAAUUAGAAUACAUGAAUAAUUUAUGAGUUUGAAAAAUGUUAUCCAUCCAUAUUAAUUACACAAAUUUUAAAAUAAAUUGCAAUUAAGUUUUUCCAAACAAAUAUCAUUACAUAAGGAAUACGUACGUACUCAAGACAUAGGAAGCCAAGUUUCCAAGAUAAUCCAUUAUUCAAUUUUGUGAAUGAUGAAACUUUUCAAGAUAAUCCUUAUAUAAUAAGGUUUGAUCAAUUUUUUCGAGAUUGUGUUAUCAUAAAUCACAUAUCGUUUAAGUUUCCAGCUUAUAAUAAUAAUUUACACGAAUUAUUGGUGAGAAAUCUCCAAAAUCAUUUUAAAAAAGACAAAUCUAUAUGUCUUAUAGUGCUAUCUCUUUUUUUGUGUUUUCAAAUGUUUUUGUAUUAUGUGUACAUUAUAUCAUCUCUCAUACACAAAAUAUGAGACAUAAUAUUUUAUUUUUAGGAAAAAUCUAAUAAUCCCAUAAAUGAUCAAAUAUCAAUUUGCUUUCCCUAAAUAAUAUCACAUAUAUUAUUUCAAAAUAGUUUUAGAAAUUUGUUCAAUCAAGUCUGUACUUAAUUUUUCUAGGUUUAUAAUUGUAAUCACGUGUAUCAACUUCACUUUAGUUCUUAAUUUCUAAAACUUAAUUACAAUCAAGUCACAUUUAAUUAAUCAUCUCAUUUUAAUUUUUGAUCAAUGAUUUUUAAUGUGUGUGGCCAAUUGAGUUCUUAACAAGUUGGCUCAAAUAUAAAUAACAAUCAUAAAUAAAAUACAAUUAAACAAUUUAACAAUUUAACUUAUCAUUAAUUUAACAAAUUAAUUAAUUAAUAUUUGAAAAUCAAGUGCAAUAUUUAAUAACAUGUCAUAACCCUCUAAAUAUUAAAAAGGUCAUACAUGUUUUGACUUAACUUUUUAUUGACUAGUUUCUCAAAGUAAUUAUUAUCCCUUUAUUAAGAAUAUUUUAAUUUAGAUAUUAGAGCACAAAGUAUAUAUGUUCUAUCAAAUCAAAUUUAUUAUCAACAUCAUAGUCAUAGAUUAUUUGAAUAAGAUUUGAAACUCUUUACAAAUCUUAUUACACCUUGCACAAUGAUUUCAUAGUCAAUACUAUUUGUCGCACGUGUAUGGCAUCGCGGCGAUCGUCCACCCUCAAGGAAAAAUGUAAUGGACUAUCUGGUAAAUGUGGAGAGACAAGGAAUUCUUGUCACUUAUCAAUGGAAAAUUUAAAUAGGAGUCGCCACCUAGUAUUCUAGUCACUAGGAACCCUAACUGGUCUUAGAGAUCGGAUACGGAGACUGGUUGCGUAAAGGGAAUGUAUUAGCACCCCAAAUACUCCCUACCUAAGGUAAGCUGCAUUGUUUUGUCUAAUAAAAUCUAAAGUCUUGUUGUGGUUUCUAAUUGUCGGUCCGUUUACAGUUUAAGAAAAGUCCUCUGUAAGGAGAUCCUUAUCUUAUCAGGUAAAACCUAAUUAUUUUAAGUUGUCAAAAGAAAAUACCUUUUUAAUAUCGGGAAUACAUUUUACGUAUAAAUUCAUAAUCUUUGAUACUAAAAUCAAACAAAAUAAAAAUUUUUUUUGUUUUUGAAAUUUUGGUCAAUGUUCUCUUCACUUUAAUAAACUGGUUAUUAAAGCCACAAUGCAUGCUAAAUUUUUUUUUUUUCUGGUGUAUGAAAAACACAAUAUGAUUUUUUUAGCUUUUGAGACACUUGUCCAUAUACACAAAAAGAUUUUUUCUUUUUCUCAAUUUUUUUUGUAUUUUGGAAGUUUUAACAAAAAUCGGGUAUUUUAAUAUCGAAUUUGUAUGUUUACGACGCAAAAUACUGACCGAUAUUAAGCAAAACAAAAGACAUAAAUCAAAAGGAGGAAAUCAGAAAAUAUUAAAAAUAUUUUUUUAAAAUGGGCCGGACCCAGCCCAGAUCAAUGGGCUGGGCCGGACCCAGCCCAGAUCAAUGGGCUGGGCCAGACCCGACCCAAAAAACUAAUGGGCUGGUUACUGUGUAUAAGCACAGUAACCAGCCCUUCACUCUUUCCUGCAGAACGUGAAUUAUUCAUGUUUUGCAUGCAAAUACAGGCAGGGACAAGAAGAGGAAAAUGAAUGAGGCAGCAGGAGGUUACCUAGGGUGGCGUCGAGGCGGUGUUGCUGGCAGCGGCAGUGCUACUAUCGUAGUGGUAGUGUUGGUGGCCGGCGGUGCUUCUCCUUUUUCUUCCUCUCCCUCCUUUGUUUUUUUUUUAUUAUUAUUUCUUUUUCUUUCCUUUUCUCCUCCUCUUUUCUGCUAUGUCUUGUCUCAUCUCUUCUCUUCUCUCUUAUGUUCCUCUAUUUUAUUUUUUUCUUCCCUCCCCUCUGUUUUUUGUUCUUUUUUCGGGUCUGUUUUUCUUCUUCUCUUUCUCUCUUCUUCCUUCUUUUUCUCUGCUCUUUUCAGUCCUCUUGCCUAUCUGCUCUCUUGUCUCUCUUUCUCUCUCUCAGUUUCCCCACCUUUCAUCAUGCUCUCCCCCUCUGUAUUUAUAGGUGAAAACAAAGGGGGGGGGGAGAGGUCGAGGUGGCCACUGUGUUGCCACCCCAAACCGCCCAAGGGGUACGUCCCCUCCAUUCUUCCACCACGUGGCAAGCAAAUGGGUUGUAUCGGCAUCUUUUUUAGCUUUAAGAGAGAGAGGGAGCUAGUGAAAACAGGGGAAUAAAACCUUCUUCUUCCCCUAAUUUCUACACAUCGAAGGGAAGAAAGGUUGUAUCGUUCAAAAAGGCACCAUUUUGGGCUUUCUCUCUUUCUUUGUUUUUAUGAACAGUAUAUGAAACGACGCUGUUUUGGUCAAAAUGCGUCAUUUUAUUUAAAUGGAUUUUGGUGCCAAAACGUGUCAAAUUCAAAAUCAGGCCUUCAAUUUGCAUGUGUUUUACAAUUUAGUCCUUGGUCUCGGAUUUCUUCAAUUAAGUCCCUAAUUGGCCAUCAAACUUCAAUAUUUAUGCAAUUAAGCCCCUAAUUUGACCAAAUUAAAUCUUAAAAAUUAUAUUUUGACCCCAAAACUUUAAUUUAUUUCAAUCAAGCCAAAUUAACUCCAAAAUUAAUUUUUCUUGCAAUCAAAACCUCCAUAAAUUCAAUUAAACCUUUAAGAAAAUUUAAUUGAGUCCAUAAACCUCUGAUUUUGGUCUUUUCUUUCUCAAAUUAAAUUUUCUUUGUCAACAGGGCUAUCAUCAGUCAACAAAAUAUUGUCAAAUUUUAAUUUUUGUAUUUUUAAACCUUCUCAACCAAUUUUUAACCCUUUUUUAGUGUUGCUGAAGACUGUGAAGAUGAUGGUCAACGCCGGUUCUCGUCUCUACGCUUUCAUCCGAUGGGCUGAGUUUGCGUCUCCUUUGCUCCUGGUUUGAGAUUCUGUCAACUUCAGUUCUGAGAUGAAGGGACAAAGAAGAUGGUGGGGCUGCUCCUUGUCUUUGCGUCGUUUCUCUGCUUUUAUUUUUCUCAGUUUUUUCGUUCCUCGGUUCUGCUUCCCCCCUCCUCUUCUUUCAUUCCCUGGCUUCUUAUAGAGCCAGAGAACGUGGUAAUCAGGGUGAGCCACGUUCCCACGAUAUGCAGUUACAGAUGUCCUGCUGAAACGGUCUUGAGCGACGAAGAAGGUGGAGCGUUUGAACUGGAAAUGGCAACUUUCGUUUUGGACCUUGAAUUUUAGAAAGUUUUGUAAUUAAGUCCCUAGUUAAAUUGUAAUUGGACCCCUGCAGUUUGGCAUCUUUUACAAGUUAGUCCUUGGAUUUUAAUCUGUUUGCAAUUGUGCCCCCAAUUAACCCCAAACUUUGCUAUUUUUCCAAUUAAGUCCUUGAUUUCAUUAAUUAAAUUAAAUCCAAGUCCAAUUAAGUCUUAAACUUAUCAACUCUCCAAUUAAACCCUUUGAUUUGAUAAAGUAAAUUAAUUCCAAACUCAAUUAAGUCUCAAAACUUAUUAAUUCUCCAAUUAAACCCUUGAUUUAAAUAAUUAAACUAGUCAAGAAUUUAAUUAAAUCUUUAAACUUCCAAUCAUGUUGCUCCUAACCCAAAUUUUAAUUCAUUCUUUAUUUAUUAAAAUUUUUACUUGUUUUUCAUUUUAGUAAAUAAAAUAAUUAAAAUAAAAGGUAAAAAAUUGGGUUAUGAUAAUUAUUUUUAUCAGAUUUUAUAUAUGAUGCAUCAAGUUUUUUAAUGUUAAUUGAAAAAAAAAUUAGGAUUACAUCCUAGUCGUAGAUAUGAUUAUUAUUCAUUUAAUGUUAAUAGAAACAUAUAUAUAUAUAUAUAUAUAUAUAUAUAGCAAAAGCAAAAGGUUUGAAUUGGUGGUUAAAAACAAAUAUUUUUUUAUUUUGCGGUUCCACCAGAUGCACCAAGUAAAUUAUUGUGAGGGUGCUCCCCUUCAGUAAAACUUUUUUUAAAAAUAAUUUAGUUUCGGUUGACUCACAAAAUUGAGACAUCUAGCUCAUGACUCAUGGCUUUGGCUUUAGACGUAGCUGUAACUUCGCUUACUAUGCUUAUUAUGCAAAGCAAUUAUUUUCAAGCUUCUGGAACGGGGCGUUCCUGCAUCUUCUUUUAUGGCAGAAGAGAUUAGAAAAUGACUUCUAUUGUCAAUAAUUUCUUCUUCCUUGUGAAAUGAUUUCCCGAUACAGCUCUUAAUUUCAACACCUGCUUGCUCUUCUUCUUUUCUUAGUAGACCUGGGAAGUCAAGUUUCCUAAUUAUCCACAUCAUCAAUCUCGAUCCCAUCAAAAAUGAAUUUGGUGGAAGAAAGAAAAAAAAUAAAAAAAUAUCAAUUAUUUUCAAGCUUGUGGAACGGGGUGUUCUUCCAUUUUCUUGUUUUAACUGUUUUCUUCGUAGACUUGGGAAGUCAUGUGUUAUGAACAAUUGAUUUGAUCUUGAAAAUGACUUCUUUCAAUAAUUUCUUCUUCCUUGUGAAAUAAUUUCCCGAUACAGCUCUUAAUUUCAACACCUGCUUGCUCUUCUUUUCUUAGGAGACCUGGGAAGUCAAGAUUCCAAAAUAUCCACAUCAUCAAUCUCGACCCCAUCAACAAUAGUGCCCAGCAGGAAAAAUUAGUUUCUGACGGUGAGAUGAUGCCAAAAUUGUAGUCAAAGAGACUUGGAACUCCCUGAUGAUGGUCUCUAGCUCUGGAGGUUUAUUCUGCCAAAAUUGCAUGGGCCGUUUUACAGCCUUCGUAAUGGGCUUGGCUACUUUGGGUAAUUAAAAAAACCCAAAUCGAUAAUGUUUUUUUUUUUUUCCUUUGGUAUCCGUUUAAUCAAUCUUCUGGUUUGAUCCUUGAUAGUGCUGUGUUUUGAUGCUUGUCGAUUAGCCACAAUAAUGUUAAAUUUACAAGGACAGAUCCAAGAAAAGCAAUGCAGGCCUGUAUUGGUCUCUGGGAGUCCCCUGAUAAAGGCUGCAAUCAUUGCUUGAACCCUUGUAAAGGGGCCUUUACACAUGAGGUCCACUGAAGAAGUACAACACCGUUUUUUUAUUUAAUUCUUAUGGUUUAAAUCUACUAAUAACUUAGUCAUUUUGCAUGCUAUUUUUCCACUUGUUUUGUAAAAUAGAGAAAAGAACAAAGUAAAUCUUUUUUUUUAGUUUAUGGCAUGUUCUCAAAAGUUUUAUUGAUAUUAAUUAAAUAAAAAAGACAUUGAUAUAGCUGAAAAUUGAGAACGAGAGGGAUGAUCAGGAAUGGAUUAAGCAAAAUGGGCUUGAAAAAGACCCAACAGCAGAGAAAAAUCUGAAAUAAACUCUUGAUGUUCAAAAUAGCCCACAAGCAAGGAAAAUUACCAAAAUAGGUAAAUACUGAUUAUUCAAUAAAUAAAGAAACUUCCUAGAAUAAGUGUGACAUCCUUUAAUGUUUUUACCUUUUAGAACAGUUUAUCCAGGUCGAUUCCACUUUGCUUCAACCGACCACAAUGAUCCCAUAUCCAUCUAUACAAAAAUCAAUUAAGCGGUCCAUUGACACAUUAACUUCUCUGGCUCCAUUCCGUCCUGGAUUAGCAAUCUUUCAACAUUGAGUGUUCUUCUUCUAAAAGCUACCUGAUCUUGUCAACCUAUGACAGAUCUAAAGACUUGAGAGCGGAAAGCCCAUUAAAACAUGAUAAAAUGCUUUUAUCAUUAUUAAAUCGGUUCCCACUUAGGUCAAGUACCUCCAGUUUUGAUGGUAGGACUUCGAAGCCUGGAAGAGAAACAUCAAAGCAAGAUAAUUGACAUUAAACACCGACCUUGAUUCUCAAAAUAAUAUAAAUUUAUUCUAUGAUUAUAAGAACAGAAAGAUUGAACCGACCAUGAUUCUCAAAGCAACCAACUAAUCCAUUACCGAUCAAAUCAAGACUUUGCAAUUCGUUAAAAGGCAGAAACAAAGAUGCGUUGAGAACCCAAUCCCCCAAACUCUCAUCCCUUGCACCAAUAAGAGAGAGUCGGAUCACUCGCCUUUGAGUGUUAUCACACUUGAUCCCAUACCACUCACAACAAUUACUACUGUACUCCGCCCAAUCUCUCAUGUAAAUGCUGUUUGGAUUGAUCAAAGGUUUGAUCUCCAUGAGACCAAUUCUCUCUUCCUCCAAACACCCAUAAGAACGACCACACCAUUUCGCCAUCCAAAGUCAAUAAUGUGACCAAAAUCCAAACCCACAAUAUCUUUUUCACCACCAUCUUAUAUUGUUCUAUAAACCACUACGUAGAAUUUUGUUGUUUGUUAUGUGAGUUUGGGCAACCCACAUUUGGUCCCAUUUAAAACACACUUUGGCCAUUUCCAUGAUUUUAUCUGCGUAUCCUGUGCAGGUUCCAUGAUUUUAUCGGGGAGUCAAUUUAAGUUAUUUUCCUGCCACUUUCUCAGCAGUUAUUCUCGUAGAGUCCUAUUUUGUGUUAAACGUUGGGUGCGUAUAAAGUAGUCAAAAGUAGGAUAUCCCGCUUUCUCCAUUGCUGUUCUGCAACAAUAUUUUGGUAGCCUUAUAGCACUCACUACUGGAGAAAUUGAGCUAAAGCAUAAAAUGUCAUGUACGCGGAUGCUUGACUUGCGGUGUGCCAUCUUGACUCUUAAACACCACCGAGCAGUAAUUUCAUGGUGAUUUCCUUAUUAAUACUGGUGGUCUUCCAGAAUCUUUAUCCAAACAACCCUUGCUAGACCGGGAUCGGGGUUGAUCAGGGAUAAGACUCGUGUCAUGACUUUUGAUGAGAUCACUAGGGCUCUGUUUGUUUGCAGGAAAGUGAAUUCCUUUUGGAAAGUGAAUUCCGGGGAAAGUGAAUUCCUGGAAAGUGAAUUCCGGGAAAGUAUUUUCCGAUGUUUGGUAGUGUUAUGGAAAAUGAACUGGAAAACACUUUCCAGUGUUUGGUUGUAUUAUGGAAAAUGAACUGGAAAAUAAUUUAUUAAUGAAUUAAUUUUUUUUUUAAAUUUAUCUAAUAUAUAUAUAAAAUAUCUAAUAUAAAAUAUUUAAUCACUUACAAUAAAAAAAAAUGAAAUCUAAAAUGUAUAAUGAUGAAUUUUUUUUAUUAUAUUCUAUAUUCAUACAUAGCUUAUUUUAUAAAAUAUAACUAUAUAUAUCAUAUCAUAUUAUAGAGAAAUAAGCUUGUGAAAUGUUUUUUACUAUUCCAUGAAACUAUUUAUAAUUCCAUUACGUACGAAAUAUAUCUGACAAAAAUUAUAGUUUUAAUAAUAUUUUUAGCAUGUAACAAAAUUGGAUAAAAUAUUAAGGUUUAAAAUUUACUCUAAACUAUUUUUUUUUAAUGUUAAAAAAAAUAGCACACUUAAAAAAAAAAAAAAAAGAAUCCUACAGGCAAGUGAACAGUGCAAGAGAACUGCACUGUUCACUAUUUUUCCAGUAAACAGUGUACGCAAUACACUGUUCAUGUUAAUUGCACUAUUCAUUGAACAGUGCAAUUAACAUGAACAGUUAAGAAAAAAUGGCUGCUUUUCACCGCUGGCCACUGUCGGAAAGUGUUUUCCUUUCUUUAACAAAAGAAAACACUUUCCUUUGGCAACACUGAUUUAUUUUCCAUUGACUGAAUUCAUUUUCCAUUGACUUUUUUUCUUGUUGUUGCCAAACACUGGAAAAGCAGGAAAGUGAAUUCCAGGAAUUCACUUUCCUGCAAUCAAACACGGCCUAGAUUAACUUUCAUUUUUUGCUAAUUUGGUUGAAGAAAGAAAUAUUUAGCCUGAUUUACUUCCAUAUUCAUUUUCUUUUUAAUACAUACAUGCUUGUAACAAGACAGGAUAAAAGCCAUGUAAACAAGGUAAUUAAAAAAUGUCUUCCGGCAAGUUUGUUUGUUUUUCCCCUUUAUUAUGAUAUAUAUACACGAAAGAAGAAAAUGCAUUGAUUAAAAUGCAUAGACCACCGUGUGGGCCAAUAAAAUGAAAACAAAAGACAAUAUCAAUGGUUUGCAAAAAAAGAAAAAAGAAAGUUUUCUGUUAAAUUUAUCUUUAUGUUAAUUACUUGAUUAACUAAACUUAAUCAUGUAAUAUUGAAUUAUUUGAUGAAAAACUUAUUUAAAACAGUAUUAAUUGACAUAUUUUAAAGUAAAAUAAAAAACAAACCCCGCUUACUUGCUUAUUUUUAAUGUGAAAAAUUAUUUUUUAACAUAAAUUCUUUAACAUAUUAACAUAAAAAAGUUCAAUAUAAUUAAAAUAAAUUGUGAUUAACAUGCUUUCUGAACCAAGCUUUUAUAUCUAAGAGACUAAUUCUCUCUUCCUCCAAACCACAAUGGCAAAUUGUGCCAUGAGCAGCCCUUUUGUCUUCUGGGCUGGAACAUCAGCCCAGCCCACGCGGAUGGGCUGAGUCCAGCCUUGUAGCUGGACCAAUACAGGCCCAGCCCACAUGAUUGGGUCGGGUCUGGCCCAGUUCAAUUUAAUGUUGGAACAUCAGCCCAGCCCAUGUGGGUGGGCUGAGUCCAGCCUUGUAGCUGGGUUAAUACAGGCCCAGCCCCCACAAUCAGCCCAGUUCAUUUCUUUUUUAAAAAAAAAAAAAAAAUUAUUUUCAAAGAAAUUGCAAUUUCCCCGUGUAUUUAUUUUACGUCAUUUUGAUUAAUAUUGGUCUGUAUUUUUAUAUCAUAAAGAUAUAAAUUCGGUAUUAAAAUAACCGGUUUUCAAAAAAAAAUAUUUUUGUUUUCAUACAUACGGCCUAGUUUCUCAAGGCUAAAAAUAAAUAAAAUCAUAUUGUAUCUUCAUACAACAAAGAAAACUUCAAUAUAUAUAUAUAUAUAUAUAUAUAUAUAUAUAUAUAUAUAUAUAUAUAUGUGAACAUGUGUUUUGGCUUUAAUAACCAGUUUAUUAAAGUUACGAGAACUCGGCCAAUAUUUCAAAAAAAUCAAAAAAUAUAUUUUGUUUUGUUUUAUUGUCUGGGAUUAUGAAUUUAUAUAUAAAACGUAUUCCUAAUAUUAAAAUGGUAGUUCUUUUAUAGACAUUAGAACAGUUAUGUUUUACCCCCAUAAGAUAAAAACCUCUUUACUGAGAAUGACUUUUCUUGAACCAUAGACGGACCAACAUGAUAAGACCUUAUAUUUUUUAUCAGACAGUGAAACAAUGCAACUUACCUCAGAUAGAGCGUAUUUGGGGUGUUAAUACCUUCUCUUUACGCAACCAGUCUCCGUAUCCAAUCUUUGAGACCAGUUAGGGUUUCUAGUGACUAGAAUACUAGGUGGCGACUCUCCUUCUAUUUUUUCACUGCUAAGACACAAAAAAUUCCUUGUCUCCCCAUUUUUGCUGGAAUAGAUACAAUUGCACCUAAUGAGGAGAAGUGGUGGGCGAUCAUCGCGACGCCGUACACAUGCAACACAUGUAAAACGGUUUCUAUAUAUAUAAAAGGAAGAAAGAAGAAAAUGCAUUAAAUAAAACAUGGAUAUCUUUGAAUGAAGAAAUUUAGGACACCGCUGACGUAUAUAGACAAAGUAUGCCAAGAACGAGGGGGGGCAAAAACAUUAUCAAUGGCUUGAAAGAACAAGACAAAAUAAAAUCAUUAGUUUUGAGCUUCAGAAGACAAUUUUAGCCAUUUAAUUUUGUCUUCAACUCGUUACAAAAAGCCUUGUCAUUUGAGAUUUCAUGCUUGUAAUGUUUCUGUUUUCAAUUAGUAUUACGCUUCCAUCUGUCAGAAUACUGUUGAACUUGACAAGAACUUUGAGCAAAUUCCAAUUUGAUUUUUGUAGCGAAUUAUAUCACUUAAUUGUUUGCUUAGGCUUAUUUUUAAUGUUCAAUGAAGUUUCACCAAUCAGUCAUCAAAUUCUGUAAAUGUUGCAGAUGAUUGCUAGGAAUAAAUCACAGUCAUUAAAUUUCUUCAUUUUGGUCCUUAAAUUUGUUUGCUAUGCUGUAGUUCUUUAUUUUUCGUGGAUAAAUUAUUUGGUACAGAGUUCUAAUUAAUAGCCAAAAAAGAAAAUAGCUCUGAAGAUAUCAGAACAACUGAAAAGAGAAGCAAAUAAUUGAUAAGGUGGGAGAAAAGAAUAGCAAAAUGCAUAGGCAAAUUUCUACAGUAUCAACUGACAAUGUGGAAGAAGAGAAUAUCAACCUGAUAGAUCAUAUAUGCGAGGCUUAUGUGGUUUACGAACACCUGAUUUGCAGAAGCUGGGGAUAAUGUUGAAACUCAAAUACACUCCUAUACAAUGAAAGGUUUUCUUGAAAACUAUCAUAAUUAAAGCAUAAAUUCAAUGAAAACUAAAUUUGCUGGAGGGGUUUCACAGAUUUUGACCAGAUUGAAUUUCACGAGGCGUCUAGCGUGAAUGAAUUAGGGUUUUCUUCUAGCCUUGAAAUUAUAGAGGAAUAGAGAAAAACAAAAACUCAUAUUUUUCUGAAAAGUCUAUAAUUCAAUAAUCUAAUCUUAAAACAAUACUUCAAUUGUUGAAAUAAAAGUUUUAAACCGAUCUAAUUAAAAGAAUUUAAGAUUAAGUGUGAAAAAUAUAAAAAAUACAAAAUUAUUUAGGAAAAUAAUUAAAAUAGCAAAAAUAGAAUCUUUUGACCUAACUUUGAAAAGAUCCUGUGGUGAUGGAGUCUAUAAAAUUAUCUAAUAAAAUUUAAGUAUAAUAUAAUAAUUAAAAUUAUAAUUAUAAUUAAAGCAUAAAAUGUCGUGUACGCCGAUGCUUGACUUGCGGUUUUCCAUUUUGAUUUUUAAAUACCAGAAAACGGUAAUUUCCUUAUAGAAACUGGUGGUCUCCUCGCGACCUUUUUUCUCAAAUAACUGUUGUUAGAGCAUGAUUGAAGUUAGGAUUUAACCCGUGUCAGAAACUUAAUGACUCUCCUCACUAACAGUAAUUUAUUAAAUAUUUUUAAUAUACUUAGUUCAUGUGAGGUUGUGUUUUCAAAAUCUUCCGAGAAAAAAGGACUAAAUGAUGACACACACGACAUUAAUGCAAAAAUAAAAGAUAGCACUACUGGCCAAAUUAAAUUUCACGAGAUGUAUAAAUUCAAACUAGGAUUUUCCAGCCUUUAAUACUCUAUGGAGAAAAAAACUCUAAUAUUUUUAUAAAAAGCUUAUAAUUUAAUAAUCCAAUCUUAAAACAAUAUUUCAAUUGUUGAUAUAAAAAAUUAAAACUGAUCUAAGAAAACUAAGUGGAAAAAAUAAUAAAAUAUAUUAUUUUCAGAAUAUAUUAACAAUUUAUUUCUUGAACAUGAAUACCAAGAAUAGACAGAGAGACACAGAGGAAUCAUUCACAUUUGCACUUGAAAGAAGCCAACUGUAUGCAAAGAGGGCCAAGAAGAACAAAUGAAUUAGUUUGCUGAAACAGACAAUACAAACAAAAGGAGAAGAAUGAGAAAUCAGAUGGGCAGUGUGAUGGUAUUUUCAGAACUAUGGUUGUGCCUUUUGGAAGAGAAUGUGCUUCUUCUCUGACCAUUGUGUACAAUUAUGGUCGUUGUUUCAUCAAAAUCAGAGGGCUGAUUCUGCCUUCUCCUUUACAGCUUCCAAAAGAAAAGGUGAGAAUGGGCUAUUCUUGCUUUUGAUAUUUGAAAUCAUAACAUGCUCCACUGAUUGACUUUUGGUGUAACAUUUUGAUCCUUAAACUUCACUUGGCCGUAAUUUCCUGAUGAUUUCUUUAUGGGAAACAGGUUGUCUUCUCGCAAUCCUUUUCCAAACAACCCCUGUUAGAGCAUCAUUAAAGUUUUGAUUUGUACCAUCAUCAAAAAAUGACUGUCAUCAUCAUCACAACGUACUUCCAUUUCAAUUAAUUCUUUAUAUUAUAACGCAGCAGAACAUAAAAUAAUGGGUGAAGAUAUUUUAGCUGAUAAUGGGUGAAGGGAUAUUUUUUUUCUAAUUGAAAACGACUUGUCAGCUUUAGAAAAUGCAUGCAGGGCCCAGUUUAAUUUCAAUUUCUCAUACUCUCGUUAAUGCAAGUUUGGACAGCUUGGGGAUGUGUCGUCCAUCCGGUUUCCUUUUUUGAUCGGGAGUCAAUGGGAUUAGUAAUUGACACUUCAUCAUCAAAUCAAAAUUAAAAAUGUUAAUGAACUCACAAUUAAUUGCCAUUAAGCUCCAUUGAGUGUAAACAAUGAAUUUAUAAAAUAGUCAAAAGUGGGAUGUCGUGAUUUCAACAAUGCCGUUUCAGAAAAUUGAUAGUCAUGAUGAAAAGAAGAAGACAGAAUUGUUGAGUUGAAACGUGAACGUCGUGUUCUCCUGAUCAAUUGUAUAGUGAAGAUGGUGGAACUGAUGCGGGUGCAUAGCACCAACCAUUACUUCCCUAAUGAUUUCCUUGCGGAAGAAAUUAUUACAUUUUUAAAGUUAAAAGUGCUAAAGCACAAUUCAAAGAAAAUAAGCAGUACUAAACUUAACAAGCUAGUUCAAUGGAGGAGAAUGGUGUGCUGAAACACUAUGAUUUUCAAAAAAAUUGAAGCAUAUCAGAUCCAUGCUGCUGCAUUCGCAAGAAACGAGCACCCAUCAACAAUGUGCUAAAUGUCAAUGCAGAGCUUUAAAUCAUCUACAGAGGCUCAUGAAGAAAAUAGGCAUAAAUGAUAACAGAUAACACACCAGAGCACUCUACGUAAACUGAUAUCUUUAGAAAAUUCAAAGGCAUGAAUGAAAAAGAAAAGCUAGAAAUAUCUAAGUCAGCUCUUAAUUUGUAACAGUCCACAACUUCAUGUUUGGUGUGUACUGUAAACUAUGCUCUCCACAUAAUCAUGAGCUUCAUCUGCAAAAAACCAUUUUCACUUCUUGGGACAAGGGAUCAAAAAAAUACAAACCUGUUGUUGGAUUACAUUCAUAAUUUAUAUCAAGCACUAGAUGCUGCUCGAAGGAAGUCCUUCAAGGAAAAAAAUCAGGAACAAAAAUGCUGAGAGGUCCAUCUUGGAGGUCAGAAAGCUGGAGUUCUACUAGAAGAAGAUACCUCUGGAGAGAGAAAUAAAGGAAGCCUGAACUGCUUAGAGUUUUCUUACCGAAGCUUCAAGUUAAGAUCAUUUUCAUUUCAAUUUGGAUGUAGAAAUAAUGAUGGGAUGUGAAAAUUAUAUUUUCAUUUCAGAGAGCUGGUUGAUUAUAUUUUGAAAAAGGGUAUAUAUGAAAGUUAAAUCCUCUGUUCAAAUGAACAAAGGGAUCAACUUGAGCAAGAGUCAACAAGCUAUCCUUCGAGGUCAAUGGAACAUACCACUCAUAUUAAUCUUCUACUAUUUAGGGGAAUUCAUACAUCCACUCAUCUUAAGCUGGAAAACUUAUGGAAAGCAUUCGCAAUUGUUUCCAAUGUAUCGACUGUAAUCAAUCAAUAGAUCAUCAACUAUUGUCCUCAUUGAAAGUUUCCUGCUCCCUAUAUAGAGAAUGUCUGAUUAAUUUCAUUAAAUAUGCAUGAUUCCACUGUAUGUUAGCUAACCAAAAGAGCCUACAGGCCAAAUAAACAACAGGAAUAAGAGAAACUACUUCCAACGCCAUCAUUUCUCCUUUCUAGUAUCAUCUUUUGUUUAAUGUUUAAUGCUCGUAGCCUCUGAGCACUCCAAACUAAUUUUUAAAAUAAAAUAUCAAGAGAUGGCAGAAAAUGAAUGUGCUCAUCAACUAUUUUCCUCAUUGAAAGUAUACUGUGGUAUUUUAAAUUGCUCCAGUUUUUAAAAAAUAGAAGGCCACAGGCCAAAGAAACAACAGGGAUAAGAGAAACCGUUUUUUAUUUGAGAAAAUACGAUACUGCAAACUAUUUCUUAUGAAUAAAUCCCGUAUUACAAGAAGCCAAGAAUUGGUUGGUUGCUCAGCACAACAUAACUCAACAUAACUGAUACAAACAAUUACUGAUACAAGCACAAGGACAAACACAAGUCACAUCAAAAUAGAAAGGCUAAGCAACAAGAACACUUCUCACAGGCAAAUUGCUAAACAUGCAGUGAGCAACCAUUGAUUUGGAAUGCGACUGCUUCUCCACAGAGGAUUGCAACAAAUUCAGAAAGCAGCCCACACGCUCCUGAUAAGAUCCAAUCACCUUCUGAAUCUGGACAACUUGGGAAAGUUAAUUGCCAAAAAGCAGCAGCAAGUGUCAAUGCAUUCUUCAAUGAAGUAAAACCACCUGCGACGCCAAUGCGGAUUUAUGCACAGUACUGCUGCAAUUGUCAACACCACAGUUAUGUAAAACACACCAAAGCUGGCAUAGAAACUGUCCAUGUCUAUGAAGCCACCAUCUCCAUUGAAAUCAUUAGGCACUCUCGCGGAUGGUGAUUCUGUUUUGUCGCAACUAUUUUGCAAUGGAGGUCCACAAAGAAGAGGAUUCCCUUUAUAACUGCUUUCAUCAAAGGUACCAAAUUGAUUUUUCAUCUCCGGUGUUCUUCCUGACAAAUUAUUGUACGACACGUUAAAAACUGCUAGAAAGGUCAGUUCAACGAGUUGUGCAGGAAUUCUCCCAUUCAAAUUGUUGUGAGAAAGAUCCAAGCUCUCUAGCUGCUUCAGAUUGAAGAAGGAUGAAGGGAUCAAUCCAGUGAGAUUAUUUUGUGACAGAUUUAGAGAAUGUAUCCCACUUAAGUUUCCCCAUUCUAUCGGGAUUUCUCCAGUGAAUCUGUUACAAGAAAGAUCCAAAGCAGACAUGUAACGAAGGAUUUCGCCUUCAUAAGUGUAGAAGUUUUUCUUUGUUGUAAGCUCUACAG